GCAUCAAAAAGCAGCUAAUCAUGCGGCAACUUAUGUUCAAAAAUAAAACAGCUAGCACCUAAAAUCUGGUUUAUUAUUUCUUUAACUUGUCCUUGUCCUUCUAGAUUGUAGCAGCAGCCGAAGACAUGAACAACGAUUGGCAGGGAACGCAGAGUAUCUGCACGAGUGAUCAUGUGUUGUAAGUGGCAGAAAUUAGCAGACUUUUACAUUCAGAUGAGAUAAUCUUUGUUCUCUGUUGCAUAUUUGACCACAUCCACCAGAUCUUUAUGUCAUGUUUACCACAAUACUGUCAUUUUAAUGUUUCUUUUUCUUUUCCUGUUUUCAUGAAUAAGUAAAUGAUGCAAUGUAAUGUAAUAUAAAUUCUUGACAGAAUUUCAGUGUUCUGUGAGAGUAAUUGUUGCAACAGACUGAUGUAUCACAAUCUCCAUGUAUGCUCUUAAAAAAACUUUGAUAACUCACUGGAGUAGUUCAGCAGUAGUGCAGCAUAAUCUUGCACACAUCAAACUCCUACUUCAGGAUCCAACAACAAGGAUAUGAAUUCGCAGAGAGAUCUGAUAUAUGUGAUUGAUUCCAGUGGUUUUCCCGUGGUGAAUUUUUUAAAAAGAGGAGACUGGCAACUUGGGUUCAAUCCAGAAGAUCACAGGUUAAUUCAAUUAUGUGCUUGAAGUUAAUAUCUCUUUGUGUUGACCAUCAAUCCAAUGAAGAUUAGCAGAGAAUAUCGUUAUGUCAUAGACAAUCAUCACGUUCUUUGUGUUUAUUAAGGAUAAGCUUUUUCUUUUUCAUCCUGGGUUUUUGACUCUUACCAUAACAGCCAGCUAAAAUAAUAACUUUUGGAUUUCUUUUCCACUAGAAUUAAAAUAUUUAAUUCAACUUAUUUAGUAGUUCUGAGUUAAGAGUUAAAUAUAUUAAUUCCUUUUUAAAUUUCCUCUCCUUCAAUUGCUCAUUUUCCUUCACAUGCACGCACUCUCAUUUGUUCUUCCUUCUUUUUCUGAGCAUCUUUUCUACUCUUGCGGAUGGUAGUGAGAAAAUUCUAUGUGAAAAUGAUCUUUCCAAAUAUGAAAUUUGAAAUUUGAAUGCAUUUCAAACUCAAUUAUCUAUUAAGUAAAAUCUAUCAUACUAAAAUUCAGUCAAGUUGGUAUUUGUGAAAACUCGACCCUCAAAUAUCUCUACUCUAACCAUUCCAAUUUUAAGGCGAAAUUGAGUCUGGAAGAACGAAGACUUGUGAGUUUGAUCAAAUAAGAAAUGAUAUUUUUCCCCCACUUAAGAUGAACGAGUUCGUAGCUGGGUAGCUGAAAUCAAAGACCUAACUUAUGAUGCAGAGGAUAUUAUAGAUACUUUUCUUCUUAAAGCUGCUAGGGCUCGGGAGAAGGUGUUCAUGGGUUCAUCAAUAGGGCUUCCUUCAUGUUCAGAAAGGCUUUUCGUCUUCGUGAGAUAGGGACCCAGAUAAGAUCCAUCCGAGCUAAGAUUGGGGAUAUUUCUACAAGUAUGCAAACUUAUGACAUCAAAUUGGUUGCUCAAGGAGAAGGGUUCAGUUUUGCACGUGAGAUGCAACGACUACGAAGAUCAUACCCAGAUGACCAUGAUGAGCAAGUUAUUACCUUGGAUACAACAUACAAGCAUUAGGGCUCUUAAAGAUCAGUUGGGAAAACCACCCUUGCCAAGAAAGUAUACAAUGAAUCUCAUGUGAAGCAGCAUUUUGAUUGCUAUUCUUGGGCAUUCUUAUCUCAACAAUUCUCCACAAAGGAUGUUAUGGUUGGAAUCUUGAUGGGUGUUGCAUCUAGCGAUGAUAAAACUAAGUUGGAAAGAACAGAAGAAGAAAGGGUUCCUAAAUUCAUGUUGGAAAGGAUGAAGCAGUAAAAGAAGUUCAAAUCUUUGCUAAAAAAAUGGAAGAAGAAGAGCUGGUUAAAACAUUUCGCAGUGUAGGAGAAUAAUCAAGUAUUUUAUCUCAAAUCUUCUGCUCUCUUUUUCUUCCUUUCAUCAAAGUUUUAUAUCUCAUAGGCCAGGGAAGAAAAUUUCCUAGGAUUUUGCAGCAAACAAUUCCUACUCAGUUCUGCACUUCCCAAAAAGUAAGUUACGUAGAAUUGCCAUUCAUCAUGAGAUAUAUAGAUACUGUGAACUUUAUGUUCCUAGGUUGAAGGGUGGUGAUCCACAUCUUCGUUCUCUUUUCUAUUUGGUGGAGAAUCAAUGUAGUUAUCAUAUGCCAAGUCGUCGAGGAAGAUUUAUUUUCAAGAAUUUUAGACUGCUUUGAAUCUGAGAAUGUACAUCAUUGUUAUGGUUACUUAUCUAGAGCUUUAUCAUCAUCCAUAGGUAAUCUAAGGAGUUUAUACACUGUUGAUCUACGAAAUAAUCAUCACAUAAGGUUACCAGCUGCACUGAAGAAAUUAGAAUGCUUGAGACAUUUGUUAGUAGAUGGUACUGGAGGGAAACUUCAAUUGGAUAUAUUAGUGCAUUUAGAGACUUUAAAGUGGAUUAUUGAAGCUAAGAAUCUAAUUAGAAGAGCUGUAGUGCUUAAACUCACUAACCUUAGAAACUUGGGUGUAAUAUUUGAAACAAGAGAAGAAGUUGAGAUGGUUAAGAUUUCUGCAGGUCAAGACUUCUAUUGCUUUCUGCAGAGAUCCUGCUCUAUCCACAGAAGGCUUAAGAUUUUCAUCCUUGUUGGUGUAUUGGCAGGAAGAUUGUUCUUAGCUUCUUGUUAAUAGCAUGAUUUGCUGAUUAGAUUAACUAGUUCCUUUACUUUGUCAACCUGGACUUUCACGAAAAGCAGCUUGUUAAGCUUCUUUGUACUUGUAUUUAAACAGAGAUGUAUUUCUUCAAUCCUGUUAUUGAAAAAGCUUUCUCUGAUCCAAAUUCUUUAAUCCUACCGUUCCUACUCGUGGUUUUGAGGUGUCUUUUCCACUGAAAUUUUCCACAUCCGAAUUCGUUCAGUUUCUCCACAUUCGAACUGCACACGCACAACGAAGUAAGCAAAUACAUAUGCGUUUGUUAUCGAAGCUACUAAAAAAUUAGAAAGCAUGUAACAAUUUCAAUAGAGAAUGAACCAAUGUGGGAUAAAGCAGUCCGUAUGCUGGAUUGUGAUGCGCCUGUUGUAAUUUUUAUACAAUAUGGGAUAACUAAGGAGUGGAAUUUUAAUCUCCUGAUUGAAGAAUGAUUAUUGUUUGCCACGAGGAAGGAAGGAAAAAAGGUAAUCUAGUAAUUCAUCCUAAAUCGACUGAAAUGAAACGCUUUCAAUUCAUAAGCUAUGAGAAUUGAAGCAUCUAUUUACAGGCUGAAGGAGUAAAAUUCUAACUCUAAUAACGGGUAAAAUUUUGGUCCUUUUUCUCACCCAUCUGAACGUGUAAACAAUAUUGCAGAGGGAAGUAAUCUUACUUGAAAAACAGAAGGGCACCAAUCAAGUGCAAAACCAUGCAAAUGAACAACAGAAUCCAAAAUCCACUGACGGUCACAAAUAUGCAGUCUUCACUAUUAAUCAAAGUAAUUGGCGAAGAUCUUGGUUUUCUUUCUGAAGAGACUUAAUUUCUUUUAUCAGCUCUGCCUGAUUUUUUGCAAUUGAGCUCAUCACACUGGAAAAUUCCAUCUGUUCAAUGAAUUCAAAAUAUCAGACUGCAAAUAGAUUACCACAAAAGGGUGAGUCAAACCCAAAAUUACAUAGGUACCUCCUGCAUGUGAAAUUGUCUUAGAAUUUCAAUGUGAAGGUUCCUCAUGUCCUCAUGGAUGGAUUUCUGAAAUGAAUCAAGAGUUCCUUCAAGAGUCCGUUGAAAAAGUUGGAGUGUGAAGGAAUUUCCUUGCUGCUGAUCCAGCUGAAGGGCCUUAUUUGGUUGUGAGGUUCCUCCCUAACACAAGAAAGCAAACUAAUUAGCAUGAUAAAGUGAUAAACUUGUAUAUGUCUUUAAUGUUUCAUCACAUGGAUGACAUUGGAAUUUUGCAUUCUAUGCAACAACACAUAAUUAGCCUCAGCACAAGAUAAGAUCCAAGUGUGGCCUGAGCUUUCAACUCAAUAAACAGUAUUGAGGGCAUCUAUGAUGAUGAAGCAUAACAUAUUGGACUUUUCUCCCAAAGAAACACCGAAAAAUUCAGAUGCAAUCACAGGCAAAUGUUUAUUGGGCCAAUCUAGUGUGCAUACAUUUACUGCUGGAAGAAUUCCUUGUUCUGUCACAGACAACGUGUCAGACCUUGACAACAAGCUACUCAAAAGCUCUUCCCUGGUUUCAGCUCCUGUUUUCUUUGUUUUAGGAGAACUCACUAAAAGGGAGAUCUCAUUACUGAAGGAAGAAGCUGUGCUUAUUCUCUCAGCAUAAGUUGAAAAUCUACGAGGAAGGGUCAAAGAGCCUGAUCCUGGCACAUCAAGGGUAGUUUGUCCCAUGAUGCUUCUUGUACUCAAAGACUGAGACAUGGAACUAGAGGAAACGAGUUCUGAAAAUCCUGUUGAAUUUUCCUGCUUUGAAGAAACAUCUCUGGGGUGCAGACUUGAAAAACUCAUGUUUGAAUUUGUCAAAGAGCUCAUAAUUAUCUGACUUGUAGAUGGUAGAUCUGGAAAACCCCCAGAAGUCAACAUCCCAAACUGAGAAGGUAGACUGAGUGACUGGUGCAAGUGGGUAAGUUUCUCAGAUAAUCUCUCUCCACCCCAAGCUUCUGGAGGAGUGAUGGAGGAUUCUUCACUUUUUGAAGAUGGAGUAGGAGUAGAUUCCAAUGGUGAAAAAGAAGAUCUGGUCUCCUCCUGCACAAAAUGGAUAAAAGAAAUAUCAAACAUCAUAGGUAUGAAUUAUCAAACAGCAUGUUCACUAGGGAAAUUGAAUCCAAGUCAAACAUCAACAGGAAACCCCAGAAUAGCAAGCAUUAACAAAAUCAGAAUUAUAAGAGGAAAAUCUCCUAUUACAGUUAAUUUGAUAAAAAAAAAUAAUAACACACUGAGCUACCUUUAAUUAAUUUGAUUAAAAAAAAAAAACAUAACAGGCCACCUUUAAUAAUCAAAAAGAUAUGGUGUCAUAGAACCUCAGAAAUUUUAGGAUCAGAGUUUGGUAACAUGCAGUGCAGUGGAGAGGCAAUAAAGCACAAGAUGCUGUGCAUUAUUUCAAUGUUGCUCCAAGCAUUCCGAGGAAGAGAAAGUUGCUGAAUUCAAGGAUCAUGUGAAAAAUACAUAAUCACAUAGCAAUACAGUUGCAUGGCCAUAAAAAGUAUAGUCAAUAUUUCCUCUAGCUCAUAUUUCUUAUCCACAUUUUUUAUAAAUUUAAGUAUUGUAGAUAUCAUGAGAACAGAACAAUAGAUAUCAGACCUGUUUGAAAGUUGAACUAGUUUUCCAAUCGAAUAUAGGAUGAUCAUUUGUCACAUCAUCUGCAAAAGGAAAUCUACUACCAGCAGAAGGAAAUAACAAAGAUGAGGGCUUCUUAUCAAUUGAUAGAUUUCCCUUUCUUGUACCCUCGUGAUCAUCCCAGAGCUUAUUAAGUGCCGAUGUGAUAGGAUGGACAUCAACAAGUGGGGAAAAAACUUCCAUGUCAUCCUUAAAAUUAUAACUUGUACGAGGAGCAUGUAAGCUUGUCAAUGUUCCACUAGGCCACAGAUGGCUCCUAUGUGGAGUUUCCUCUGCAAAGGACGGCAUACUUGAAGCAGAUCCACUGCUAGUUGAAGCAAGAGACGAUGCUUCUACAGAAAGACCAGAACGGCCAAGAUUAUGAGAAUUUGACACUCCUGUAGAUAGUGAAACACUGGAUGCUGUCACAGUGGGAAGGGGGUCAGGCAUAAGAAUGGAAUCUUCAACAGCACUUCCGAGAAGAGCUGUCUCAGCAGUGCAGGUGCUCUCAUUUACAACAACUGGUUUUGAUCUUUGCCAGCACAAACUUGUAACAGCCUGAUGAAUACCAUAAAUCCUUAUUGUCAGGUAAGAGUAGAAGAAACACGGUUUGGGUAGUAUAUGAAAUAACAUUAAUGGGUUAUGAGACAGGGAAUGAUUAUUUAUUUAAAGUUCAAUAAUUCUUUAUUCAAAUAAAAAACUCUUGAUGGAGCAUCAAGGGCUGUAUUUGAAAGACAGGAAAUUUAUAUCCCACUAGAGAUUCACAUUAUUAACCUAACUACUGCAUGCAAAACAAUAACUAAAGCCUUCUGACACUGUCUUUCCAUUAAUUACUCUUUUGUGCUCUGCCCAAUAUGAGGCGCAUCAAUUAAACAUAAUAAAAGCAAAGAGGAUAGCCACACAUAGAUCAUCAUAGAUGACAUGCUUAGUGAUCAAACUUAAUACUCAGGUAUAUACAAAUAAGAAUAGUGAGAAGUCACAUGUAGAAUUCUUAUAAUAUGCAUCCAUUUCACCUUGUUUGUUUUUCUUAUAGACCAUUGUGUUCAAGUAUGCAUUAAAGAAACUCUAGCCCCACAAAUAGCUAGGUGCCAUCCUAUUAACAAGUAAGGGGUUUUUACUCUCAGUCUACUUACCAUACACAGACCUAGUAGCAAGCAGCAGUUGUGAUAAAACAUUUCAAAAGGCUCAUAUUCAAAAAAUAAAGUCAAAUUGUGGAAAAAUAUUGAUCCAAAAUUUAUACAUUUCAUAAAGGUAAGAAAUCAAGUUCAAAUAGAUGACAUAAACCAGCUUGUAGUGAGCAUAUGUAAAAUGUUUCCAUUCCAAACUGAAGUGACGAAGUAGUCAGUAUGAAAAAAAGUGGGGCCUUAAGGUGUUGUUAGAAAAAAAAAACAUUGGGACAAAAGAAAUGCACCUCUGAACUGCCAUAAGCACGAAGAACAGUGAAAGGCUGUGGUCUUCCACGAACAUCAUAGAACACUACUCGACCACUGCUAGUUCCAGCUGCCAAAGUCAAGCCAUCAUCUCUGAAUGCCAAUGAAGAGAAAGGUGCCUCGUAGGAUAUAUAAGAUGAGGGUCUCCGAGACUCCAAGUCAUAAGUGUAUAACUUUUUAUCCAGUCCAAUGCUAGCUAUUAUCUGUAUGGGCAAAAACAGCAGAAGACUACCACAAUUUACAUCCUCAAAUAAGUUUCGUCAUUCUAAAGCAGAUAAGUAAUCAGUUUUUUUUUUUAAAAGAUCACAUGGAGGAGUUUUUUUUUCCAUAAGAUCACAGGAAAGAGGAAGAACUGUAACUUGCUAAAUAAACAUGAGACCUUGUCAUUUGAAGGUGAGAAGCUAAUACCAGCAGUCGGGGCAGAAUGUUGCUUCAACCAAGAAAUCUGUUUAAAAUAAAUAAAAAAGAAAAAACCAUUGUUAUGUGCCUGGAAGAUAAUAGCAAUAGAAAAUGAACAUAAUACUGCAGAGAUGCAGAAAUUUUAAUAUAGAAGCAAGGAAACAAAAAAAUUUAGACAAAACAUAUUGUCCUUGAUAUGCCUAGAUUAAUAACCAUAAUGAAUUAUUGAGAAAUUGACAAAAUGAGAAAGUCAAUCCACAGAUGGUUAAGGAACUUGUCCCUGCUAAUUUAUAUGAAACAUCAACAAUUUCUGGAGAAAAAGUAGAAGUCAAAUAAAAGGAGAUAUCCGUUUUGUUUUUCUGAUGUGUUUAUAGGCAUACAACUCAACUCAUUCUUAAUUAUGCAGCAUUCCAAUGGCAAUAACAACACGACAGUUGAACUUUCCAAUAAAAUGCUUAAGAUACAUACCCACAGAUCAAAGUAUAGCUUUAAUAUAUGAAAGUUCCACUCAAGCAUCAAAAUUAUUCAGCCAUAUUUGUAACUUUAAACAUGUAUCAUCAUUCAAGAAUAAGAACCUUUGGGCUGCGACCAGUAGUAUCCCACAAAUGUACUGACCCAUCAUCACCUGCAGUCACCAAAAUGUGCCGACUAAUCCGUGAAUAGUCUAGCACCCGCAAUACCUGGUCUUAAAUCCAACAGAUGAACAAUUAGCUUGGCUCCAGAAACUCUAACCCAUGAAUACAAGAAAUAUACAAGAGACUAAACAACCUGUUCAUUAGGAUCCUUGAGUUCUGCUGCCCUUGCGCCAGUUGCAAGAUUGUGAAGGAUAAGAUCCCCACUUAGACUAAUGGAAGCCAAAUGCUCAUCUUUGCAAUUGUAUAGAGCACCAGUUAUUGUACUGGUGUGACCCCUCAACCAUUUAAUACAGCGUUUCCUCUGUAGAUCCCAUAUUCUUACAACUUGACCACUUCCCCCAGAGCACAUGUAUCUGGAUCCCUUGUUACUAAAGCUAAUAGCCAAUAUUGAUUCCUGAAAAUUAAAAUUCUAGUAACUUAGUGCAAUUUGAUGAAGCAAUCCUGUUCCAUUGACAGGAAAUGAAACAAAGGUGAGAGCCAGGCAAAACUAACGCUGUUCAGGAAAAAGACAACUUCACCAUGAAUGACAUGCUCUAGAACAAGGUUUAAAUACAGAAAGCAUGCAGUGAAAAGCAUCAUAGAUCUAAGGGCUUAGUAUCUGAUUGAUCUAAGCAUACUCUGUUUCUUGUUCAAGCGCCAAACAGGUCAAAUUGCUGAUAGCUGAAGCACACAACAGCAAUCUUACAUCAUGAACUGCUCCUUUCUGUAUUCUUCAAUAAUUUUUAAAAGAACAAACAAAGUUUUUGCUUAAAUUCUCAUUCCUUUGAGUCUAGUGAUUACCACUCAUAAAGUUUCCCACUUGUAAAUUAAGGAAAUAAAUUCACAUGAGAAAAUGUUUUUUGAGGCAACUCACACAUGCCUUUUAAAAAAACUAUAGUCUAAAUGGCAAUUUACUUGCAUGUAUUGAUAAGAUCUCCUUCUCCAUCAACUCAUACAUUAAAACUCAACAAAAUCUGUGGUCAUUAGGAGACAAUUCUGAAUCCCAAAAUAAAUUUCUUCUAUGAUCAAUUCCUCCAUGAAAAUUUGCAGAUUUACGUAAUCCUGAAACUAAUUUAUUUCUAAUAAGCAAUGGCACUAUAGAAUUUACAUAUAAUUACCUCAAUGUUGUCUCCGGUAUCUGUCCCAGCAACCGGAAUAGUCCCCAUGCUCUGCCCAUUUUUCCUCCAGAGAGAUAUCUUCUUAUCUUCUCCAGCACUAGCCACAACCAAAUCUGCAAAGUGUGAAACUCCAAUUUAAAUCAAUCUCUGAUUGAUAUAUUUAUCCACCCGUCUAACUCAAUUUGAACAGCAGAAAUUAGGGGCAAAAACAAAGUUCAGAAUUUCCUUUAUUCAUUUUCCUGCACUUUCCCACUGACCAAACAAGCUCUAAAUAAUUCCAGAAAUAAGAAAAUGCAGAUUCAACAAAAGUAAACAAGCUAGACCCAUUCACCAAAACCAAGUACGCAUGACAUCUAAAACACGAAGAUAAUAAAUUGCAAAACAAUGAAGAUAGAGUAUAGAGCAAGUGACUCACUAGUGUGGUUCCACUUGACUGUGUUGACCAGGCAACCUGGAGAUGGAGUGUAGCUCGAGAUGCAGGGAUCUCCCGGCUCCCUCGAUACAUCAAAAAGCUUCACCGUAUCGCCUCCGCUGGCAGCCAGCAUCCACAUUGAUGGAUCCGCCAAGUUCAUCAUUUAUAAUCUCCAGUGUCCAAUUUUCUUAUCCAAAGAAAAAUCGAGCUCCCGAAUUUUCCCGGAAAAUUAAAUUCCUAGUAACUGAAAAUCACAGUUUUGAGAAAUGUGAGAUUGAGGUUGAAUUAGUACAAAAAAUGAAUAAACCCUACCUGAUACGAACUUACUGAGAGAAGGGGAUAAUGGAAUGGGUGUUAAAAGUUUUGAAAGGUAUUAAAGAGGCGCCAUUGGUUGCUUUUUCUGUAGUUUAAAAAAAAGAUAUUUUUUUAACUGGAAAAUAUUGUUUUUUACAAUGAAAAAAUAACUCGCUCAUAAUAUAUUGUUCUUAAUUAAAAUAUAAUUCAUUCAUGCAACAAAGCAAAAUUAACUAACCGUUUGUUUUAAGGCAGAAAGAAGACUAGUAAGUGGAAAGAUAAAAGGAAAAAGCCGAGAGUGAGAAAAGAAAAGGGGAGACUUUUUCGAGCUCUUUUGCAGUCCGCCAAGGUUGUCUUUUUAACUUGUUUUCAUUUUGAGUUGAAUUUAUAAUUUUACAAUAAUUUUGGCUUUGUGUUGUGUGAUUUUAUUAGAGUUUGGCUGGAGUGUCGCCAUGUUCAGUGAUAAAGAAUCAGUAAUUAUUCGACGUUGAAAUAGUAAGACUGGAAUCAUUAUUGAACCAACAUUUUCGAUGGUCAAUGAUAUUAUAUUUUAGGACUACUUUUUUUAUUUUUUUCUUUUCUUUAUUCUUUUGUUGGUCUCCGCUCACUAAAAUUUACUUUUUUCUAAACUUAUGACUAUCUCCUCUUUGUCUCGGUUAACUUCAUCUUCUCAUUUGAUUUGAUUAUUUUAUAUGUUUUAUUAAUUUUUUGUUUUAUCGAUAGGUUAAUUUAGGUUGCUUUAUUUUGUCAAAUUGACUUGUAUUUACUUUAUAGUGUUAUCUUUCAUUGCUGACGAUACUGGUAGAGUUUAUCAUUGUUUUUCGAUGAUGGGUCAAUUGACGAUGUUAUAUCCUGAGACUAUGUUUUUCAUUUCUUUCUUUUCUUUGUUCUUUUAUUGGCUUUUACACAUUGAAAUUUGCUCUUCUUUUGAGUUUGUGGCUACCUUCUUUCUAACUCGAUCGACUUCAUCUUCUUGCUUGGUUUAAUUGUUUGACAUGUUUGAUUAAUUUUUUGUUUUAUUUUAAUUGAAGUGUUGGAUGUGUUAAUUUAGAUGAUUUUUUACUUUGCUAAAUUGACUUACAUGUGCUUUAUGGUGUUGUCUUUCAUUACUGAUACUGAUAAAGCUGAUGAUCAUUUGUCGAUGAUAAAUUAGUUGAUGGCGAUAGUAAAAUCUGUGUGCUAGAUGUGUAGUCUUUGCCUUUAAUUUCAUAUAAUUUUUUAGGUUAAAUUUUCAGUUGAUAUUAUAAGUCGACUUUUUGGGAUGUUUGUGGCCUUUUCUCUAAAUUGACCUUUCUAAAUUGUGGUGAAUUCAAUGAGAAAUAAGAUUUUGGAAGAGGACUCCUUUGAUUUAUUGAAUUUAUGCUUAAACCUUGUUUUUAUUCUUUUUUAUAAGCAUCUUAAUACAACUCUAAAUAUUAAAAAAUUAAAAGGUUAUUUGAUAUUUUAAUAUUAAAAAUUAAAGGGUUAUUUUAUUUUUAAUUAUGUCAUUUAUUUUAUCUUAAAAUACAAAUUUUAAAUUAUUGAUUGAGAUAAAUUUAGAGGAAUUAUUGUAAUUUUCAUUAUCAAAAUACAUUUGAAAAUUGACAAUUUUAUUUGAUUAUAUUUGAAAAUUGACAAUUAAUUCUUAUAUCAUGUAAUGGGAAAUUUUUUUUCUUCCCACAAAUAUUACUUCUUAGAAGAAUACUUUAUGAUCAAAUUACAAUAAUAUCUCUUCUUAGGAAACCAUAAACAUGGAAUUGUAUCUUUUGACUCCAGCGACGGAGGAUCUGUACUUUUCGAGGCUUUUUGAGUUGCUUAUCUCUAUGCCUUGAAUGUUUGUUCUGGGUUUUUUGAUCUCUGCUAUGGCUUCUUGGAUCUUAGACGACCGGCUCUCCAGCUUUUUCUUGUUGUCGAACGGUGAUCUUGCAUGGCUAGAAGGUUUCUUUCUUGAGCGAUAGUUGUUUCUAGGGUUGUAGUGGGUUGGGAUUGGGCUUGAUUUAUGUACGGGCCGUAAGCUUUUUUAUUUUUGGGCAUCUCCGGUAGCUUUUUGUUUUUUAGGACUCCCUUAUAUCGGUCCUUUAAAACUGUUCUAUUAAUGAAAGUCUACUUUCCCAAAAAAAAAAAAAAUUAUUUUGCAAAACCUCAUGAACUCAUUUUUUUUAUUUAUUAUCCAUAACAAAAUUAGAAAAUAAAAGUGAGAAUUAGAACUCGUUUAGUUUGACGGUGGCAUCUGUUACAGUAGUUGAUAGAUGUGGUUAAUAGCUAAUAGGUGUUAAUUUUUAUAAUUAAUUAAUUAAUAUAUAUAUAUAACUCUGAAAAGGACGAGGAAAUAUUUUUAUUGUCAAAAAUGUUCCCUUUACAUAUAAUAAGUAAUUUUUUUUAAUUUUUAAUUUACUUAAAUAAUUAUAUUGGUGUUUUAUUUAAACUAAAAUUUAUAUUAUUGUUUUAAAAAUCAUUAACAACUUAUAUUAACAUUUAAUUCUAUUAAAUUGAAAUUUUAUAUAAUCUUAAAAUAAUAUUUAAAAAAUUAUAUUUCUACUUAUACAUAUUUGAAGUCGUCGCUAAUAAUAAAAUUAGCAACAAUGCAACUGUUGUUAAACAAAAUCAUUCCAUUGCUGUAAUAUAUUGCUAAAACAGGUAGCGAAUAUAAAUUUUUCUACUGAUUAGGAAAAUCAAUUUGUUGCUACAAUGCGUCACCACAGCUAUUAAUGUAAAUUCUAUCUUAAGACAACAUUCUGUUUGAUAAAUUAAAUUUCUAUAAUAUUUAUUUUCUGAUAUUGUUUUAUCACUUUAAAAUAAUUUGAAGUUUUUAACAUAUUAAGAUAAUUAAAAUUCUAAUACUAUUAAAAUAUUAAAAUCAACUAGUACUUUUUUUUUAAUAUAAAUAAAACUUUAUAAAAAAAAUUAUUAUUUUGAAAACAAUUACAAUUAAACAAUAGAAUAAAAAUAGUCAUAUCUUUCAAAUCAUGAAUAUUUAAAUAAUGAAUCAUAAAAAAAUUUAGGAAAAACUAGAAGCUACUAAUAUUGCUCUACAGAGACUAAGAAACAAGAACUCACUCAAAUGAGACAGACACGGCCAAGGCAACAAUUGUAGACAUUUUUCAUGUUGACAAAACGUAAAUAAUAUUUCAAGCAUCACCAUAUUAAGAUUAAACUUGUUCAAUGACAGGAUGAAGAAAGCAACCGCUAAUAAAAAUGAUAAGCUGCUUUUGCAUUCAAAUAUCAGAGAAAGGUAAAAUGAUGCUGCAGUGGACAUGGGUGACAGGAAUUUAACCAUUAAAGAAAAAUGAUAAAAAUAACCAUCUUCAACAUAAGAAUAUGCCUAAAUGACAAUACAACCACCUCAAUCAGUGACCAGGAAAAUGAAAAAGCAAUUUUGGGCGACAAAUGUAGACACCAUUGCAGUGCCACUUUUAAUUACCAGGUCAAAUUUAUGUACAGAUGAACCACAACGUAACCAAGGAAAAAAAGAAGUAGAAGAAAGAAAGAAAGAAAGAUUGCUUCUUUUGGAUCCUGGCCUUCGGUCAGCCACAUAAAAUCAGCCUCAAGACAGGAAGUUCCAAAGAUUUUACACCCGUUCCCCCUUUUAAAUCCGUAAGUGUAGAAGAUCCCCAGCUAGCAAUCUUCAGUUUCAGCCACUUUCCUGCAAAUUGAAAGAAUGGCGUGCAAAAGAAUUGUCAAUUAACAUGCCCUUCAAUGAAGACAAUUCAAUUUCAAUUUAUAAACUUUAAGUUCUGAUGAAGUGUUCAAAAUGUGUACAAAAAAGAAUAUCUAUACAGCAUUCCUAAAAGGAAAAAUGGGAGAGAGACAGAGAAAGGGAAAGAAAAAAGAACUAAAAUAAAUAUAACAUGAAAAAGCCCUUCUUUGAGCUUGCAGGGAACAACAAGCUGAAGCUCAAGCCUGCCAAUUUAUAAGAGGAUAACGCUUACACCUGUACCAAGUGCCAAGGCCAAAUCAGUAACAUUGUAAUCAAUGUAUGAACCUGCAGAUGAAAUGAAUCCAGGACCCAGACUCCAGACCCAGAUCUUUGGACAGAAAUCUUUGAAGGUAUUACCAAAAGUGACUAACUAUCACAGAAUACUCAUUUCAUGGGACUCAAAACAAUACUGAAUCUGCAAUUCCAUCGUUCAACAUGCCCUCUCAUAAACCACAAACAAAUAUGAAAUAACUAAUGUAAUGAUUAGCAGAUAGCAGUCCAGCUCACUCCAGUGGCCUGGCCAAUUUCCAGUGAAUCGCCAGAAACCCUAAACCCUGAGCACCUCCUAUAAAACUCUUUUUAUUCUCUGCAAACAGUGACAUGCCAAAUCCUGCAAGUACUACUAUUUUUGUUUUUUGGGAAUCUAUCUUUAACCUGUGUCAGAGUGAGGUCACUGGACCCAAGUCCAGCACCGCACUAACUACUGUUUUGUGCUACCAUGAUGCCCAGAUCCUUUCCAAUAUUAGUUUCCAUGCAAGAUUUUAUAAAGGACACCUGCAAGAUUGAUUUUAAGAAUCAACAGGGGCCUAAUUAAUGUUUGUACAAUAGCAUCCCCUUGAAUACUCCUGAACUUCUAUUCUUCAAGUGGUUAAACUCACCUUAAGGCAUCUAGAAGCCAAACACCUCGCAUAAUGAUCCAGAGAGACUAUAUAACCAUAUGCAAACUCUUAGUUAGACCAAGUGCAAUCUUUAUCAGAGGAGAAAAGAAUGAUCUUUAGACUAAAUCCACAGAAAAGAGAGAGAGAGAGAGAGAGAGAGAGAGAGAGGAAGAUUUUAAUGAGCGUGAUUUUCAAAUAGAGAGCACUUCAGCUGCAUGUUGACAAGCUUAAAACGCCUAUUCUUCACUAAUAUAAAGAAAAUGAUUAAAAAGAAAGAAAACAAGUAACAAGCAAUAAGUCACCAGAUAAAUAAAUAAUCCAUGGGUGCAUAACAUAAGCAUUAUCAUAUCUCAGCAAUGUGAAAACUAGAGAACAGAAGGCAAUUUAUCGACCUGCCUUAAAAAAGACUAGGGAUCAAAGAUGCUGCACCUGUCACAUUUUAUUUGGGAUCAUAUAUUUAGCUUUUUUCUCAGCAGGCUUCAAAAUCUGGAAGGAGCACAUCAGAUUUUCAUCUACACUCAUCAUAGCACCAGCAUUAUCAAAUUCACCACAAUAGUUGGGAGCUGAAAAAAUAGUGACAAGCUGCCUUUCUGCAAAGAACUCAUACCCAUCCUCCACAACCUAAAACUCAGGCAACCNNNNNNNNNAAAAAAAAAAAUAAAUAAAUAAAUAAGUGAAAAGGAAUCAUGCUAGUGUCCAGAAAGAGAAGAGCGAUAGACAAUGUAAAAGGGUGGGGAGCUAAAGUAAAUAACCUGGUGUGCACGACAGACAAGGUCUAAAUCAUGCUUCAUCAAGAAUUCUGACACCUUAUCAGGACCAAAAGUAUAUGAAACUCCUCUGUCGUUCAUUCCCCAACCCUUAACAUCUCUACCAGGAUCUGACCAGAGCAAAUCACACAGUAAACCAGUGUCUGGAACUGCAGUUGGUCGAGGUAAAUUUCUAAUUUGAUCCAAAUUUGUCAAAUCAGGAGAAAGACCACCGUGCAUGCACAAUAUUUUAUCAUCUAUUAGAGCCGCAACAGGGAGACAGUUGAAACAGUCAGUAAAAGAUUUCCAAAGCCUCACAUUAAACCGCCGCUUGCAUUCAUCAUAAAAUCCAUAUAUCCGGUUUAUUGAUGCACAUUCAUGAUUUCCUCUCAAAAGAAAAAAGUUUUCUGGAUAUUUAAUCUUGUAGGCAAGCAACAGGCAAAUUGUUUCUAAACUCUGCUUGCCACGAUCAACAUAAUCCCCUAAAAAUAAAUAGUUGGCUUCAGGAGGAAAACCUCCAUACUCAAAAAGCCUUAGUAAAUCACUAUAUUGGCCGUGAAUAUCCCCUGAAAAAUAAAGAAGAAUCUUUAGAAGAUCACAUAGAACAAGUGAUUGCAAUAUCAAACUGCAAUCCAAUAUAUAAUCACAGCAAAGAUCUUCCACCAAAACCACGGAACUAAAACCAACAACUUAAUCUAAAGAAUAGAAUUCAUUGAAAGAAGUGUCUAAAGUGCCUUUUUGAGACUUCAUUAAAUGCAGGAAUCAUAUUAUGUUUUCAAAAAUCAAACAAGAAACAAGAAGUUGAUGCUUUUACAGGUUGGACUCUUUCAUGUCAAACAAAAACAAUGUUAACAUCAAAAUUCACAAGGGACUUAAUCCCCUUUGCUACUUGAACCUAAGGAUUUUUAGAAUAUAUAUAAACUCCAAGUUGUUCACUUUUCCUCAUCUAAACUCCAAGUUCCUCACUUUUCCUCACCUAGUUUGUCAGCACUGCAACAGUAUAUCAUACCCUGCAAUCAAUGUAUUUACAAUAAAAAAAAAUAUAUAACAAGAGGCUUAAAUCACCAGAAUUUCAAAAUUCAACCUAAAUCCAUUCAUAAAAAGAAAAAGCAAUCCUAACAUAUAGUACAUUCUCAAAAAAUGGAUAAUGCCAAUUGAAUAACUUUGCAACAAAUAAAGCAAGCACACAAAGAAAUCCCUAGUGUAUUAUGAUGAAACGUCUGCAGAAAAGAAACCCUCAACAUAAUUCCACAAAACCCUCAAAACCCAGAGCAGAACUCCACAUAAAAGAAUAAAGUAAGCGUCUUCCUAUACAGAACGUACCGCAAAUCUUAAUGGGGGCUUCCAGCUCCAGCAAAUUAGGCUGUUGCAUGAAGAUAUCUCGAGAAGCCAAACAUAGCUGCUUGAUCUCAGCCUCCGAGAGCUGCACCUGCUUACCUGGCCUCGCUGAUCGAACUUCCGUUAGCCGUUUGAUAAUAUCAUCCAGUACGGCAGGGUCCAUCGACGCCUGCCCUUGUGUUGCCAUCGGAUCUUCUAGUUCUGCUCCUCCUCUCCUAAGCCCUGAUGUCUCCGAGAAAAAAACCCUAGAAAUCCAAAUGGCUAAACAGUUGUGACUAUUAUUUGGUCUCCUAGUCGUUAUUGGUUUCUCUUUUAAAGUUUCGUGCCUUGGUAUGUUGUGCGUGUUCGAAUAACUCUCACUGGUCGAUUGGUAGGGCAGAAGAGAGAGAGUGAGAUAGAUAGAUAGAGGAGGUAUUUUCUCGGGAAAAGAGAGGGAAAGAGGAGGAAAAUAAUAAAUUAUAGUUUUGUUUAUAUAAGUCCGGAAGGAGAAAAGAAAAUAGAUAAAGAGGAGCCGGCUGCAAUUUCUAUGCGGCGGACGUGCCAAUAAUUUUUUCCGACUAUUUUAUUUUUUAAACUUAUUAUGUUUAUAUAUAUAUAUACAUAUUAUUUUUAUUAAACUAUAAUUUAUUAAUUUACUAAAUAAUCAUUUAGAAAAUCAAUUUAUUUUAUAACUUCAAAAUGUUUGAUUCUCCAAAUUGAUGAAUGUUCCAAGGGUAUAUAGAUGGUUGUUGGAGUUGUAAAAAAUAUAUUUUUAAAUACACAAAAAAAAUUAUAUUAAAUUAAUUUGGAAAUUAAAUUUAACAUUUUAGUCAUAAAUAGUAAUAACAAAAUUUUUAUUAAUAUUUUAAAUUUUUUAGCAACCAAAGUUUAAAAGGCAUUGAAAAAUUAUUUAAUAUCUCAAAAUAUGUAUGCUAUCUUUUAUAUAUAUGAAAUUUAUGUAUUUUAAUUUAAAAUUAAAAGAAUAUAAGAAAAUGAUGUUUAUAUAAUGCUUUUUAAUUUUGACUUUUCUGCCAACACAUAACAAAUUAUAAUAAACCUUAAUCCAAGUCUACACAAACCUAAAUUGAUUCCAACAAUUAUAAUCUGAUUUUGAUCAAAUUAAUUUAUCAAGAUUUUUUAAGAGAAAAUAUUUUCAUUAACAAAACAAGUGACAAAAAUAUUAAUAAAUAUCUCAUAAAAAAUAUAUAUAUAUAUAAUAAAACUCAGUUGCAAUUUACAAUAAUAUAUUAACUGUAAUAAUUUUACUUUCGAAUAUUUAUUUUUGCCUUGCCCUUCCCAUUAAAAUAUAUUCCCUUUCUAUGGUUUUUUUUUAUCUUUUAACCAACUAUAUUUAUUAUUUUUAUGUGAAGUCCAUGAAAUUGUGCCCAUACUCUUGUGUAUAAUCUUGUUAUACUGUCCCACUUGCAUGGUUUUCUCCAUUUUCUAAGUGUUUGUAAUCAUUGACUUUCUAUUUGCUUAUCACUAUACAUAUCAUCAUACUCCCACUCUCACGAAAAAAGGCAUCGUCUCUUUUUGAGAUGUUACAAUACCGUCUUGCACUGUCCCUCCAGAAGAAAGAUAUUAAAAGAAAAGAAUUUUCUCAAAAAGAAAGACCUCAAAGAAAAAGGUUUCACUAAGAUAAAUCCGAAAGGACAGACCACUAAAAUCAAGUCGGAAGGACAAGACUCGAAAGAGUAAACCAUUAAGGUUUUGUCGAAAGUGUAAGGUUGAAAGGGCAACCUAUUAAAUUUAGACUUGAAGGGUAAACCACUAAAAUCAGGUCGAAAGGGUAAGACCCAAAAGAAUAGACCACUGAGGCUAGGUCGGAAGGGUAAAACUGAAAGCGAAAACCACUAAGGUCAGGCCAGAAGAACAGACCACUAAGGUGUCAUGUUAUAUGGGCAAGGCCAAAAGGAUAGACUAUUAAGGUCAGAUCUUUCAAAAUAAACACCGGCAAGGUCAGAUCUUUUCAAAAGGAAGACCAUUAAGAUCAAACUUUUCAAAAGGAAGACCAUAAAAAAUUUUCCAAAGAAAAAACACUAAGGUUAGGCAUUCCAAAAGAAAGAUAUCAAAAAGGAAGAUUUUAUUGAAGUAACACCCAGAAGGGCAAACCACUAAGAUCAAGCUGAAAGGACAGUCUACUAAGGUUAAGUCAGAAGGGCAAAAACUAGAAGGGCAAACUGUUAAGGUCAUAAUGGUAAGACUUGGAAGGACAAACCUGUGAGAUCAAGUCGAAAUGGUAAGGACAGAAGAGUAGACCAGAAGAGUAGACCACCAAGACAAACUUUUCAAAAAACCAGUAAGAUCAGACCCCUUCAAAAGGAAGGCCACUAAGGUUUGACCUUCCAAAGAGCAGUUAACCAAUGUCAUACAUUUCAAAGGAAGAACACUAAGAUUAGACCUUCCAAAAAGAAGACCAUCAAGAUCAGAUCUUCUAAAAGAACAGACCACCAAAAUCACACCUUGCAAAAAAAAAAAUAACAUUAAAAUUAGAUAUUCCAAAAAAAAGACGACAUUCUAAAAUAUAUAUAAUAUAUUUGUUACAAAAAAAUAAAAUCUUAAUAUAUUUAAAUAAAUAUCAAUGCAGCACCUCAGGGGUUUAAGGCUAAUAUUAUGCAAGAGUGAGCAUAAAAAUCAAACCGAAUAAAACCAAAAAUCAUUAAGUAUGGUUAAAAUCGAAUCGAGCCGGAGGAUAAAUCAACCUAAAUAAAAUCAAUAUAAUUCCAUUUAAUUUAAUUUAAUUUAAUUGAUUAGAUUUUUUUUUAUGAACUUUUUAUUCUCUACACCUUGUUUAUAAUGUUCUAAAGUUUAAUUAAAAUAUUUUGACUUUAAUUAUAGCGUGACAUCUCUGUAUUACCAAAACAAUAUGGUAGUAUUAAUUAUUUGAUCCGGUUUAAUUUUAUAAAUUUAAUUGAAAUCAUCAUAUUUUGAAAAUUAAAACUUAACUGAAUCGAAAAGAACAUACGGAAUUGAGUUUUUAAAUUAAUUCAAUUGAAGUAAGUAAUUUCAAAUUGAUUCAAUUGAAGUAAGCUAUUGUAAAAAUUGAAUAUUAAGGAUUUUAGCCCCUAAAAUCAAGUUAAAACUAGUAUGAAUUGCCCUAAUUAGGUAGAUAAUUAUGAUCAAAUGCUUAAUGUCCUUUUGAUAUGGGUUGUGGUUGGCUAGCUUCACACAUAACAAAAUUUUCCAAAAGUGGCAAGCCUAAGGCCUAUGGCUAGAUUGAGAUGCUUCACUCACCCAAAUGCAAAAGAGAUGGGUCCAUUUUGUCUCUCCUUUUAUAAGACUUAAAAUUAUUUAAUAUUUUAAUUUUAAUAUUAUAAAAUAUUCAAAUCUAAACUUAAAAUUUAUUAAAAAUUAUUAUUUAAUAAAAAAUUUACUAAUUAGUAUUUUGAUAUUAAAAAAUAAAAUUAAAACAUCUUUAAUAUUUUUUAAAAAUUUAUUAAUUAAUCUAUUUAUCAAUUUUAAUUAUUAUAAAAAAAAUCUAAAAUACUUUUAAUAUAGAAAGAUUAAUUUAUAGACAUUUUUAUAAAAUAGAAAAAUCAACUAAUAAAUUUUUUAUAUUAUAAAAAUUAAAUAAUAAAAUAUUUAAUGGUUAAUAAUAAUAAUUUUAUUGAUUAAUAAGAUUUUUUUCAUAUUUUUUCAUAUAUUAAUAUUAAAUAAUUUUAAGGUUAAUAAAAAUGUAUAUAAAAAAUAAUAAUUAAUACUAUUGUAAAAUUUUCAAAAUGACACAUAGAUUUAAGAUAAAAUAUCAAUGGUAAGAAUUUAACUAAAACUAAUUUAAAUAAUUUUUAAAUGUAUUUUUUAAUUUAAAUCAUAUCUAUAUUUAUAUAUAAAGGUGAAUUCUAAAAUAGAUUAUGGAUGGAUCGAUAAGUGACAUGUUUAAAUUUAUAUAAUUAUACAUAGUGAAAUAUUUAAAUUUAUAUAUUUGUGUUUAUUUUUAUUUUAAAAUUAUAUUUUUAUAUUUAAUAAUAUUAUUAAUUAAUAUAUUUAUAAUAAUAAAAUUUAUUAUUUUUAUUAUUAUAAUUUAUAUAUGACUUUUAAUUUUUUUUAUUAAAAGGUACUUGACUUUUUAAUAUAAUAUAUUAAUCAUAAUAAAAUAAAAAUUUUAAUAUAUAUAUUUUACUUUUAUUUUUAGUAAAUANNNNNNNNNNNNNNNNNNNNNNNNNNNNNNNNNNNNNNNNNNNNNNNNNNNNNNNNNNNNNNNNNNNNNNNNNNNNNNNNNNNNNNNNNNNNNNNNNNNNNNNNNNNNNNNNNNNNNNNNNNNNNNNNNNNNNNNNNNNNNNNNNNNNNNNNNNNNNNNNNNNNNNNNNNNNNNNNNNNNNNNNNNNNNNNNNNNNNNNNNNNNNNNNNNNNNNNNNNNNNNNNNNNNNNNNNNNNNNNNNNNNNNNNNNNNNNNNNNNNNNNNNNNNNNNNNNNNNNNNNNNNNNNNNNNNNNNNNNNNNNNNNNNNNNNNNNNNNNNNNNNNNNNNNNNNNNNNNNNNNNNNNNNNNNNNNNNNNNNNNNNNNNNNNNNNNNNNNNNNNNNNNNNNNNNNNNNNNNNNNNNNNNNNNNNNNNNNNNNNNNNNNNNNNNNNNNNNNNNNNNNNNNNNNNNNNNNNNNNNNNNNNNNNNNNNNNNNNNNNNNNNNNNNNNNNNNNNNNNNNNNNNNNNNNNNNNNNNNNNNNNNNNNNNNNNNNNNNNNNNNNNNNNNNNNNNNNNNNNNNNNNNNNNNNNNNNNNNNNNNNNNNNNNNNNNNNNNNNNNNNNNNNNNNNNNNNNNNNNNNNNNNNNNNNNNNNNNNNNNNNNNNNNNNNNNNNNNNNNNNNNNNNNNNNNNNNNNNNNNNNNNNNNNNNNNNNNNNNNNNNNNNNNNNNNNNNNNNNNNNNNNNNNNNNNNNNNNNNNNNNNNNNNNNNNNNNNNNNNNNNNNNNNNNNNNNNNNNNNNNNNNNNNNNNNNNNNNNNNNNNNNNNNNNNNNNNNNNNNNNNNNNNNNNNNNNNNNNNNNNNNNNNNNNNNNNNNNNNNNNNNNNNNNNNNNNNNNNNNNNNNNNNNNNNNNNNNNNNNNNNNNNNNNNNNNNNNNNNNNNNNNNNNNNNNNNNNNNNNNNNNNNNNNNNNNNNNNNNNNNNNNNNNNNNNNNNNNNNNNNNNNNNNNNNNNNNNNNNNNNNNNNNNNNNNNNNNNNNNNNNNNNNNNNNNNNNNNNNNNNNNNNNNNNNNNNNNNNNNNNNNNNNNNNNNNNNNNNNNNNNNNNNNNNNNNNNNNNNNNNNNNNNNNNNNNNNNNNNNNNNNNNNNNNNNNNNNNNNNNNNNNNNNNNNNNNNNNNNNNNNNNNNNNNNNNNNNNNNNNNNNNNNNNNNNAAAAGUUUUAUUGUAUUUUAUUAUUAAAAAGUUAUUGUAUUUUUUAUUUUAAUAAUAAAUAUAAUGUUAAAAAUAUAUUUAUAAAAAAUAGAUAAAUAUCAUAUAAAAAAAUUUAAAUAAUAAAAAUAAAUCAAGUAAAUAUAUAUAUAUAUAUAAAAGUUCAUAAUAAAAUAUUAUAUAAAAAAUUUUUACUAUCUCAUCUAUUAGUUUGUUGAUUUCACAAUUUUUUGAAAUCAUAUCUAAUAUAAUUUAAUUAACAAAUAUUAUAUAAUAAUUAUAUAGAAUAAAUAUAUAUAAUCGAUUAAAAUUAUUAUAAAAAAUAAUAAUUAUGAUAAAGUAUAAAUAAUUAAAGAAUUAAUAGAAUUAAUUAUAUAAAAUAUUAUCAAAUUAAAAUUUUAUUCAAUUUAAAUAAUUUAUAAAAAAAUUUCAAUUUAAAUAAUUUAUAAAAAAUAAAUAAUAAGUAAUUAAAAUAUAAUAAAAAUAAAAUAGUAUUUAUAAUACUCUAAAUCAAACAUUAUAAAUUUUUAACAACUAAGUUAUUAAAUAAUCUCUUUCACUUUUUACAAAUAUGCAACAUUUCAUAUGUUCUUUUUAUAUAAAAUUUACAAGUAUAAUUUUUAAUCGGUUCAUAUUUUAAAAUUAUUUUUCUUAAUAUCAAAAUUCAAUCUUUUAGAUAGAUAAAAGUUGAUGAGAUUUGAAUUCUUUGAUUCAAAAUGACUGUUGGAUAGAUAAAAGUUAGAUAAGAGUUAUUCAAAUAUUGAAAUUUUUUGAUUCUAAGUGAUUCACUCUUUCACUAUCACCAUCACUGCAGCCACCGCUGUUCACAGUUAUUGAAAGGUUAUAAUGGCAGGUUUAGAAGAAGAAAGGUUAUCCAUUGAAGAACAACAAAAGCAAGAACAAUGUGGACGAGGGACAAGCUUAACUAAACAAAGAUCAUUUGAUUUGGAGGCAGAUGGAGUUACCACCUAUACUGAUCGUCAUGUAUAUAUAUGAUAAACUUCUUGUUUGGAGUUGAUUUAUGAUUAGGAUUCAACUAAUGGAAUUUUUUUUUUUGUGGGUCUGCAGAAAAAAGAUUGGAGAACAAUCUUGAAGCUUGCAUUUCAAUGUAUUGGUGUUGUUUAUGGUGAUCUGGGUACAUCUCCGUUGUACGUUCUGCCUGGAAUUUUUCCUGAUGGGGCCGAGAACAAGGAGGAUGUCCUUGCAGUGCUUUCUUUGAUAAUUUACUCCAUUAUUAUAAUCUCCUUGAUUAAGUAUGUAUUCAUCGUUCUAUCUGCAAAUGAUAAUGGGGAUGGUAAGCUUCAGCUUCUAUUAAUUCCAAUUUAUUGGAUAUGAAAAAGUUUCUAAGUUGUCAUCCAUUGCAGGAGGAACCUUUGCACUCUAUACUCUGAUAUGUCGUCAUGCAAAGGUCAGUUUGAUACCAACACAGCAGGCUGAAGACAAAGAAGUGUCCACUUAUAAGUUGGAUUUGCCAAAACACAGUACAAAGAUGGCUUCAGCUCUCAAAACUUCACUAGAGAGCAGCCUUAUAAUCAAGUACUCUCUAUUGUUCACAACCAUGGUUGGAGUGUCCAUGGUCCUUGGAGAUGGCAUUCUUACACCCUGCAUAUCUGGUAAAUAAAUAAAAAUAAAGUCCUUGCCUUCUUUGUUUGAAAAGAAUAAAAAUUUCCAUCCUUCAAUUUCUUGUACAGUAUUAUCUGCUGUUGGAGGUAUUAAGGAGGCUGUUCCUAAUCUUUCAGAAGAUGUAAUCAUGUGGAUCUCAGUGGUGAUUUUGAUUUUAUUGUUCCAAGUUCAGAGGUUCGGAACUCAUAAAGUUGGCUAUAGUUUUGCUCCAAUUCUCGUCUUGUGGUUUGCUUUUAUUGCAUCUAUUGGGCUUUUCAACUUCAUCAAGCAUGACCCUGGUGUCAUCAAGGCUGUCAAUCCAUGGCACAUUGUGAAAUAUUUCCAGAGGAAAAAGAAGAAUGCUUGGAUUUCUCUUGGAGGUGUCGUUUUAUGUCUCACAGGUACAGAUCCUAAUGUAGUGAUAUCAUGGAGUUUAGAAUGAACCCUUGAGAUUCUAGUUUACUUGACCCUUUUUCACUUGAAUAAAAUUAGGUUCUGAAGCUCUAUUUGCUGAUUUGGGCCACUUCCAUAUUCACUCGAUUCGGUUAAGCAGUUGUGCUCUGAUCGUUCCUUCUGUCUUGUUAGCCUAUAUGGGCCAAUGUUCCUAUCUCAGUAAAAAUACAGAAGAUGCUGCUAAUUCCUUCUACAAAUCAAUCCCAAGUAUGUGUGAUUUUUACUAGACCUGCCUUAUAUUAGAUUCAGUACUUAUUCCAAAUUUUUAUUGAUGCAGAAGCACUAUAUUGGCCACAGUUUGUUUUGGCAGUAUUGGCUUCGAUAAUUGCUAGUCAGUCAUUAAUCUCUGCGUCCUUCUCUAUUAUCCAACAAUCUGUUGCUCUGGGGUGUUUUCCACGAGUUAAGGUUGUGCAUACAUCUUCAGAACAUGAAGGACAAGUGUAUGUGCCUGAGAUAAACACUCUUUUGAUGUUGGCUUGUGUAGGAGUCACUCUUGGCUUCAAAAAUACUUUAACGAUUGGCAAUGCAUACGGUAAGGUUGUGAUUAUGUUACAAUAGUUUUUAGCAUAUAACCAAUUUAACACUUUUUCUGCUUUCUUGCAGGAAUUGCUGUAACAUUUUGUUUCGUGAUUACAUCUUCAUUUCUGGUUCUUGUUAUGGUUAUGGUAUGGAAAACAAAUAUCAUUCUCAUAAUCAUCUAUGUCCUAACCAUCGGUUUCAUUGAAAUGUUAUUUUUGAGCUCUACAUUGUACAAGUUUGCUGAUGGAGGGUACAUUCCAUUACUCUUUGCCUUCAUUAUUGUCUCCAUUAUGUUCAUAUGGAACUAUGGCUACAGGAAGAAGUAUAUGUACGAGCUCAAAAAUAAAGUUCCAAUUGAAACACUUACUGCUAUAGUAUCUAAUGAGAGGAUUUGUCGAGUAGAAGGUCUUGCUUUAUUCUAUACUCGGCUUGUUCAUGGCAUAUCUCCUACAUUUACUCACUAUGUGUCAACUGUUCCUGCAUUGCAUGAAGUUCUUAUAUUCGUUUCAAUCAAGUCAUUGCCCGUCAGUAAAGUUCCAGCUGAGGAAAGGUUCUUGUUUCAGCGAGUAAAGCCUGGGGAGUUGAUUUUUCGAUGUAUAGUUAGGUACGGAUACAAGGAUCAAAGGAUGGAUCAUAAGACAUUUCAGGAGAUGCUAGCAGAUCAAUUGAAGGCCUUCAUAGAGGAAGAUAACUGUGAGGAAGAUAGGCAAAGGGAAUUGGCAUUGGUUGAUAAUGCUUUGGAAGAUGGUUUUGUUUAUCUAAUGGGUGAGGGUGAGGUGAUGGCUGCAAAUGGAUCCAGCUGGGUUAAGAAAUUGGUAGUGAACCACCUCUAUAAUUGGUUAAGCAGAUGUGUGAGACAGCCAGAUGAAGUUUUCUUAAUCCCUCAUAAGCAAUUACUCAAAGUGGGAAUGACAUACGAUGUGUAGAGAUUCAGCUAGUUGAAAUUACCUGAUAGGAUUGGAUUUUGGGAAUCAAAACUUCCUUAUUUCAUUUGAGUGUUUACUUUUAAAUUGCUUGUUUUACAGUGUGCAUCUGUGUUGAGGGUAGCUUUGCUAGAAAUUGAUUGUAAUGGUUGGAUUUCAAUGACUAUAGACAAUUGAGACUCUCCCACCUCACAUUUGCCAAUAAAAAAUUGAGAUGGUCCCUCUAAAAUUUAUUUAAUGCCCUAAUAGUCUGAAAAAUAAUAUUAUCAAAAUCAUUUUUUUCCUUCAAGUUCACUGGCUUUCUCUUGAAGCAAUUCAUGUUCAACAACCUGCUUCCAGAAUUUAGAUUAUGUUUGGAUUUACGAUGAACUGACCUGUAUUAUCUUAUCUUGAGUUGUGGCCGGCAGAUAAGGAGAAACUAUUUCUUUCUCAUGCUUCAAGCAUCGUUCAACCUAAAUUCACCACGAAAAGAUUGAACCAUCAAGAAAAAGAAAAUUAAGAAUGGACGAAUAACUACACACUAAAUACUGAACAAAAAAUGUAUUUUCAAUACCAAAUACAUGUAAUCUUCAUAGGACUCGUUCUGUAUCCAUUUGUGAGUCCUUCUCUGAGUAAAAUGCAGCACUUUCCUUGAGCAGUGAUGCUUCAAAAUCUCGUUCAUUGGUUCUAUUCCCAUUUCUACAUAGAUUGUCACAGUACUUUUCACCAAGUCCUGAUCAAUUACUUCUCCAUAGUUGUUUGAUAAUAAUUUUAGCAAUUGUAACCACAAUUUUAGUCAAUAAUUUUAGUAUGAAUACAGUUUCAAAUUAACAAUCUCUGAGGCAAGUCCUGCAAGACCCACAUUCUUUUUGCUCUUCUUGCCUUUUCAGGUCCUUCCAGGUAAGUUCUUCGGGCAUGUCUCUUUCAGCCCUUGAGUGCUUGAAAAUGGCCAAAUGGGUUUUGACCAAAGCAACAAUUAUCUGACACCCCGUUUGCACAGCAUUGGGACACUAGAGAUCUUAAAUUGAAGAUGGAGGGGAGAAUGGAGAGCUGGCAUAAUGAAGCUCCAGCCCAUAUUUCUGUUUUUCCUUUUUGUAGAUUCUGGUAAAGAUAUAGAGUUGGUUGGUUAGCUCUCGCUGCGUUUUGUGGUCGAUCCACCUUGAUCUUUUGGAACGAGCUAACAAUAUUUUCUCUGCUUUGAUUCAUCUUUCUUUAUUGAACAUUAAUCUAUUGCGUUCUGCAUUUUUCAGUUUUUAAGUUACUGUUUAUACUUUGUUCUAAUUUUCCAGCAAGGAGUAGGUCAAAGUGGCACCCUCUUCGCCAUGGCAGACGAAAAUACUAAAGAAUUCUGUACCUGCAAGCCCGUGACAGCAAAGAUAUGGAGAGCAGAACGACAAAGGAACAGCUAAAAACGCUGCCAGAUUUAAAGUGUUUGCCGUGAGUCUAAAUCAGGCACUAGCAAUAGGAUAGAGAAUCUUUGUAAAAUAAGGAACCGGGGUGAGUACGCUGUUUAAUAGUCUUUCUAAAUAAAUUUACCUUAAUUAAUACCUGUAAACUUAUUUCGGAGCUUACCCAGGAUUACAAGCAAACAUUAUUCCUUCACUGUCCGCAGAGCCUAAAAUAUUCCAGAAAAAAGUGAUCCAGGGACACAGUUUCAAGGCUUCAUUUGAUUCCUUCCUCUUCAGUGAGGCAAGUCCAGUAAGGAUAAGGGAUUAAAGACAUUUCUUGCAAAUUAAGAAAGUCCAAUAAUCCAUCAACAAAAAUUAUGCAUAAAGAUGUGGCAGGAUCACCCUCUUCAUAACUUGUAGUCAGGAACAGUAGAACUCCUUACCAAACCAAUAAGGAAGACGCAGAACAAAUAGUCUUGUCCGCUUGCCAUUGUCUCCAAAUUCCCAAAAUGGCCACGGCUUCAGGAGCAUCCAAAUCAGCAGCCUUCUUGCUCUCAAUUAUAAAUAUUGCCCUGUAUUUCAUCAUUAUAGUAAUUGCUUCAUGGGCUGUAAAUCAUGGGAUUAAAAGAACUCGAGAAACAGGUAAAUUCAGAUAUCUGCACACAGAAAUGUUUAGUUUAUCAGCAACAAGCAGGUAUUAACAAGUUCUUGCCUCUGUGCAUAUGCAGCCUCUGUUUUAUCAAUUCCUGCCCGCAUAUUUCCAAUAUACUUCCCAAUGGGAAACAUGGCAACAGGUUUCUUCAUCAUUUUCUCCCUUCUCUGUGGAGUAGUUGGCAUCGGUACCUCACUUACAGGACUCCAUAAUAUUGUUCAAUGGAACGUUCCAAACUUACAUGCGGCUGCUGCCUCCUCCGUGACAUCCUUGUCCCUCACUCUGCUAGCGAUGGGGUCGAUAUUUAUGAUCAAUUUUAUGUUUCUCUUUGUUCACCUGCUGUUAUUUUAAGAUCUUAUUCAUGUUUUGGUUGUUUGGUUUCGCAGAUUGGCAUGUAAAGAGAUUAACGUAGGCUGGACAGACUCGAACUUGGUAAGUUCAAAACUUAUUAAAUGCAAGAAGAAAGAUAUUUUCAGAGUAAGUUCUGACGGUGACAUUGCUGUGUCGACAAACAGAGAACUCUUGAAGUUGUGACGAUAAUAGUGAGCGCUACCCAAUUGUUCUGCACCGGUGCUAUCCAUGCUGGGGUUGGAGAUGUUACUGCUCGAUACGGGGCAUAAUUAACACAUAAUUUCCUAUUGAACUCUGCAUAAUUGUGAGAGAAGAUGCAUUUGUGUAUGAGAGUAUUGAAUAAAGAAGCUUAAUGGUUUGAUUUGCCAAAUAAUUGUGUUUUGAAUGUUUAUGUAAUUACAAUAAUUAUUUUUAUUAUCUUAAUGUUAAUUAAGCCAUGGAGCACAACUAUAUGUUGUGUUUUUGUAAACGCAAUGAUAUUGAUAUGUCGUUCAGAUUUUGGGAAAAGAUUGAAACGAUAUUCUUAAAAAUACGACGUGCCGUUUUUAAAACGAGAAUGCAUUGAUAUUCGCUGUUGUUCACAAAUGAUAAUACGACAUAUCGUUUUCCAUAAUUCAUUUGGCACAAACGACAACCGUUUUACUUUUUAAAUUUUAUGUAAAGGAAGAUUUACAGCAUCUACUCUUCUAUCUCUUCAACAACAAUACCAAUGAGCUCCGCUAACAGCACAAUCCUAACGACCAUCCCCCCUUCUUCAUCUGGCAAGUUUCGAAACCCUAAUUUCAAAACCUUAAUUCCGCAAAAUCGCGUUCUUAUUUACGCUAAAUGUCGUCUAAACCAUACACCUACUAUUUGGAUUUAUAAAAUCCCUGCAAGUUUGAAGCUGAGAAGUUCCAGAAUUAGAGCUUCAGUGGACAACCACGGGUGAGACUGGAAACUGGUUAAGUCGCCAACCACCUUUUUGCAUCCUGUUGACCCCAGAAUCAAAUUGGUAAAUUUCAUUUUGAAUUCAAUUCUUGUUUGUAGCUUCAGUCCACUUUUUAUCUUCAUAAAAUUGAUUGUUGCUAAUUUUUUAGAGGAUAAUAUAUUUGCUUUUGCAAAUCAAUCCUAUUAUUUUGCUUAUGCAGAUAUGGCUCUUGGUCUUAGUUGUUUUGCCAGCACGGGCACAUAUAGUAAUGCGUUUUGUAUUGGUGGUGUACAUUGCUCUUCUGUCAAUAUGGAUUCUCCCAAGACAAGUCUGGAUGGUAAAUUCAGUAGUUUGACUUUUUAAAUGCAAAGAGCAGGAUAUAUAAAAAAUUUGCCUCUGGAUAGUUUACUCUUUUGAAUGGUUUUAUAGUGAUACUUAUUGCUGAAUUUCCUGAAUCCUCUUAGGAUCAAUUGGGAAGAGUGUCAUUGCUUUCUGGAAUUCUAUUCGUAAUGUUGGGGCUGGGUGCAGAUAGUGCACCUCCUCUUGUCCAGCCAAGAACUCCACCGCCUGCAAUGAUGGGCUUGCCUAAUCUUCCUGUGUCUUUGGAAGGUUAUUCAUAUUUAAUAAUGAAGCUAGGACCAUUAAAAUUUACAAGGAAGGAUUUAUCAGUAGCAAGCACAGCUGCAUGCUUAACCUUCACUGUGAGUUCCUUUCAUAUCCUUAGAUCCUCUUUGUCUCUCCAUGAUAAUUAAGUUCUUGUGAACCUUUUUCCUGUGGCAUUUGAGGACAUGAAUCAUUCAUGCAUGUACAUGUGCACUCAGACAUGAUUAACAUGGUCCAUAUCUCAGAACCUUGCAAAAAGUUAUCUCAUGGGUUUUAGUAAGCAUUUUUUAGACAAACACACUCUUGUUCACUCUGAGAGCUGGUCUUUGUGUUUUUUGAUAGAUUUUCCAAAGUGCAAGCCUCUGCCUGGCAACCACAACUCCAGAACAAUUGGCAUUUGCAUUGCGGUGGUUUAUGCUUCCUUUGAGGUGUAUUGGUGUACCAGUGGCUGAGAUCACUCUUACCCUCUUUCUGUCUUUGAGAUUCAUCAAUCUAGUGUUUGAUGAGGUAAGAGAAAGAUCAGUUGAUUAGUUAAUUAUUUGUCAAAUAAACUGCAGACUUUAAAUGUUUGCUGUUGAUCUCUUUGAUAAUUCAACAGGCUUAUUGAAAAUUGUAACAUUGAUUGCCCUCGUAUUCAUUUUUCGUUUUUUCUGUUUGCAGGUACGCGGAGUUGCACUAGGGAUUGUAUCUCAUGGGAUAAAUUGGGAGCAAUUGACAAUCAUGGAGACAAUUGAUAGUAAGCACACAGUUCUACCAUUUUAUCUUCCGAGAGAAACAAGAAUAGAGAAGGGGGUGAGGGGAGGUAGGAUGGGAUCUGGGUUCUUUAUUGCUGUAUAAUAUUUAAUUUAGAGGCUGUUCUCAAAUAUAAGUUCUUUCAAACUCGAUGAAGAAGGCUUUUAGAAUCUGGUCAUAAUGUAGCUCUUCAAUUACAUGAUAUUUGUGUCGCAAAGAGAGAUGUGAAAAGAACAUAAUUUCCGCUCCUCCAUUACAUGUGUAGUAUUUCAUGCUUCAAUGAUAAGGUAAUUGGAGUUGAAUAUGAGCAUUCACUUGAGUAUCUAAUGCCAAUAAGUCGUGGUCUAACAAGUUGGAUUCUAAAAUAGGCUAUGGAGAAAUUGACAAGUGGCAUGUUUAGAUUCAUAUAAUUAUUUCAAAGUGACACUCUUACACUUAUAUAUUUGUGCCAAGUAGCAUGAUAAAGUUAUAUUUUUAUAUUUAAUAAUAUUAUUAAUUAAUAUGUAUAUAAUAAAUAAAAUUUAUUAUUUUUAUUAUUAUAAUUUAUAUAUGAUUUUUUAAUUUUCUACCGGUACUACGAGUUUGUGAUUUUUAAGAUGUGACUUUUUAAUUUCUUAUCACUUUUUUACUAUAAUAUAUUUAUUAUAAAAAUUUUAACAUAUAUAUUUUAUUUUUAUUUUUAAUAAUAAAUAAAUUGAAAAAAUAUUAUAUCUAGUAUUAUUAAUUAAUUAAUAUAUUUUUAAUUAUAUUUUUAUUAUUAGUAAAUAAUAUAUAUAUAUAUAUAUAUAUAUAUAUAUAUAUUUAUUUAUUUAUAUACACAUAUAUAAUUANNNNNNNNNNNNNNNNNNNNNNNNNNNNNNNNNNNNNNNNNNNNNNNNNNNNNNNNNNNNNNNNNNNNNNNNNNNNNNNNNNNNNNNNNNNNNNNNNNNNNNNNNNNNNNNNNNNNNNNNNNNNNNNNNNNNNNNNNNNNNNNNNNNNNNNNNNNNNNNNNNNNNNNNNNNNNNNNNNNNNNNNNNNNNNNNNNNNNNNNNNNNNNNNNNNNNNNNNNNNNNNNNNNNNNNNNNNNNNNNNNNNNNNNNNNNNNNNNNNNNNNNNNNNNNNNNNNNNNNNNNNNNNNNNNNNNNNNNNNNNNNNNNNNNNNNNNNNNNNNNNNNNNNNNNNNNNNNNNNNNNNNNNNNNNNNNNNNNNNNNNNNNNNNNNNNNNNNNNNNNNNNNNNNNNNNNNNNNNNNNNNNNNNNNNNNNNNNNNNNNNNNNNNNNNNNNNNNNNNNNNNNNNNNNNNNNNNNNNNNNNNNNNNNNNNNNNNNNNNNNNNNNNNNNNNNNNNNNNNNNNNNNNNNNNNNNNNNNNNNNNNNNNNNNNNNNNNNNNNNNNNNNNNNNNNNNNNNNNNNNNNNNNNNNNNNNNNNNNNNNNNNNNNNNNNNNNNNNNNNNNNNNNNNNNNNNNNNNNNNNNNNNNNNNNNNNNNNNNNNNNNNNNNNNNNNNNNNNNNNNNNNNNNNNNNNNNNNNNNNNNNNNNNNNNNNNNNNNNNNNNNNNNNNNNNNNNNNNNNNNNNNNNNNNNNNNNNNNNNNNNNNNNNNNNNNNNNNNNNNNNNNNNNNNNNNNNNNNNNNNNNNNNNNNNNNNNNNNNNNNNNNNNNNNNNNNNNNNNNNNNNNNNNNNNNNNNNNNNNNNNNNNNNNNNNNNNNNNNNNNNNNNNNNNNNNNNNNNNNNNNNNNNNNNNNNNNNNNNNNNNNNNNNNNNNNNNNNNNNNNNNNNNNNNNNNNNNNNNNNNNNNNNNNNNNNNNNNNNNNNNNNNNNNNNNNNNNNNNNNNNNNNNNNNNNNNNNNNNNNNNNNNNNNNNNNNNNNNNNNNNNNNNNNNNNNNNNNNNNNNNNNNNNNNNNNNNNNNNNNNNNNNNNNNNNNNNNNNNNNNNNNNNNNNNNNNNNNNNNNNNNNNNNNNNNNNNNNNNNNNNNNNNNNNNNNNNNNNNNNNNNNNNNNNNNNNNNNNNNNNNNNNNNNNNNNNNNNNNNNNNNNNNNNNNNNNNNNNNNNNNNNNNNNNNNNNNNNNNNNNNNNNNNNNNNNNNNNNNNNNNNNNNNNNNNNNNNNNNNNNNNNNNNNNNNNNNNNNNNNNNNNNNNNNNNNNNNNNNNNNNNNNNNNNNNNNNNNNNNNNNNNNNNNNNNNNNNNNNNNNNNNNNNNNNNNNNNNNNNNNNNNNNNNNNNNNNNNNNNNNNNNNNNNNNNNNNNNNNNNNNNNNNNNNNNNNNNNNNNNNNNNNNNNNNNNNNNNNNNNNNNNNNNNNNNNNNNNNNNNNNNNNNNNNNNNNNNNNNNNNNNNNNNNNNNNNNNNNNNNNNNNNNNNNCAUAAAUGUUUGCCCGGGAAAUUUUUUUUUUUUUUUUUCAAAGAAAACGGAAGAAAGAAAACAAAAGAAAAAGCGAAGUGAAACAAACAGAAGAGAGGACAAAAUUCCUCUCCAGCUCCAAUCCAUCCCAUUGGUGCUCAAAAAACAUUCUCUCCUCCAAUCUUUCCCUUUCGAUUCUAUACCAUCCACCGUCACUUCCAUAUUCUCCGUCUCAGCAGAUUCCUUCUUCCCCCACAUUUCAUCUUUUUCCGAUCACUCUUAAAGCUCUUUUCCUUUCUUUCUCAAGCUAAGAAUCUCUUUCUCUUCUAGAUUCUUUUGUUUCCCUCUUAUUAAUUCCUCCCUUUUUAAUCAACCAUGCUCUACUGCGUUGUUCCUUCCCUUUUGUUCUUCUCUUUACCCAUUUUUGUUCAUUCUCUUCCUUUCUUUUUCUUCAUUUCUUUCUGUCGUUUUCAUUUCCUUGGGUUUCCUUUGAUUUCAUCAUUUUCUGGUUAAUUCUAUACAUACAAAUAGCUUCCUUUCAAUUCCCAUGGCUCCUCCAUCUUCUUCUUCGUCGUCUUCAGGUGUCAACCAUAUCUCUAAUCCAUGCAUUUAUGGUAAGAUCAACAUCUUUCCUUUUCAUUUUUUUUUCCUUGUUUUCGCCUCCAAUUUGUUUGAUAAUUUGCUUCCUUAACUGUUUCUUUUCUUUGGGUUAGACUUUAAUGUGUGAAAAUUGAUAUAUAUAUAUAUGGUCUAUAUUUGCUAUUGUUUCUGUGGGUUUAUUGGAAUUUUUAUGUUAAGAGGGGACUUUGUUUGUUUAUACGCAGAGAGAAAAUCUCGGUUCAUGAAAUGGCUCAGCAAGAUUUUCAAGAGUGGGUCUAGUCACGGAGGUGGUGGUGGUGGUGGGGGCAGCCGUCAACCACAGCUUGAGGAAAACAUGGUCAGCUGGCGGCCACCAGCUAGAUCUUUGGUAAAUUUUUUUAUGGUCAUUUUCCAUUUUCCUUAUUUUUGUUUAUGAGCAUGUAUCUAUAUAUUCAGCCAAUCAAUGAAUAACAUUUUAGCUAAAAUCAGGUAGAUAUUAUGUUUAAAUUUAUGAAUUUCUUUGGAGAUAUAUAAAUAUCUUGAUGCCGGUAAAAAAUUUACUAUACGUAUGUGUGUGCAUGGUCUGUUAUCAUUGAUGUUAAAGUUGAUACUGAGAAAAAUACUUUUUCACAUAUAUUAGUCAGAGUUAAAUAAAAAAUUUUGAAAAUUUUUCGAGAAUCAUUUAAACUCUAACCCUUAAACUAAUAUAUAAUAAUUAUUUAAAUUUAUAAAUUUUUAAAAUAAUCCCCUAAUCCAAAAACCGUUAAAAUAUAAAAAUUCAAUUUAAUCCUCUUAAUUAUAAUUUAUUGAAUAUAGAUGUGAAUUACUCUAAAUAUUUAGAAUUUUUUUAAUAUUUCUUAAAUUUAAAAUUAUUAUAAGUAUACAAAAAUAAUUCACUUUAAAAAAAAAUUCAAAUUAUCUUUUAUUUUUCCUUUAAUUAGAUAUCAAUUUUAAUAUUAACAUUUCAUUUAAAAACUUAUAAGUGUUAUUAAAAUAUGUAAAUAUUAUUAUAAUUAUAGAUAAUAUUUUUUUAAUAAAAUUUAACUAUAGAAAUUAUGAAAAUAUAAGAAUUGUUAAAAGUAAUUCAAAACUAAUAAAAGAUCAUAAGAUAUUUUUUUUAAUUAAUUUACAAUAUUAUUUAAAUUCCAUACCUAUAUAAAAAAAUUACAUUUAAACUUUUAAUAUAUUUUAUUAUUUUUCUUGUUUUUAUUACAUAUUAUAUUGUAAUAAUUGUAUUUUUUUAAAGAUAUGUUAAAAAUUUUUAAAAAAUUUUUUAAUAUUAAAAUAUAAUCUUUAAAUAAUAAAAAAUAAAAAAAUAUAAAAUCAUUUAUGAUUUUGAUUGAUAUAAAGGAUUUUUCAAUUUAUUAUUUAUUAAAUUUAAAUAUGAAUUCUUCUAAAAUUUUUAAAUAAUAUUUUAUUUAUUUUAUAAAAUUAUUAUAUUCAUUUAUAACAAUAUAAAUUAAUAUAAACUAUAUAUAAAUUAAAUUAUUAAAAUAUAAUAUUAAUAUUAUUUAUUUAAGGGCUUAAAUGACUAUUGUGAUAUUUAUUAAGGGUUUUAUUAUCAUUUUUUAUAGAGAUUUAAUGGUGUUAGAUUUUAGUUUUUUUUGUGUUAUUUUUAAUAGUUUAAAGGUCAAAUGGAACAUUUUACUUGACCGAAACUUAAAUGAUUAUUUGCCUAAAAAAAUUGAUAAGUUGUAACUAUAAAAAAAUAUUAAAAUAAUAAAGUAUUUUUUUAAAGAAAAUCUUAAUGAAACUUUUUUUUUUAAUUCCUAAAACUCAAUUCCAAACGGCCAUGUUAAUUUGGUACUUUAAGCAACCAUAAAAGCCUUAAAAGUUAGUUUUUGUAUUCCUUUGCAACUUGUGAAAUGAAUGGCAAAUAUGCUUGUGACACAGUGCUUUAUAAAUAUCAAUUUAUAUUUGUUCUCCACUUUAUUAAUUCCUUAUGCUACUGAUUUUUUUUAUUGUCUUUUUUAAUAUGUUUCUUUUGAAGGGCUUUUGCUUAUAAGUUAAUGCACCGUAGGUUCUUUGCCAAACAUGAUGCUUAUUUAUUUGGGCCACCAAAAGUUUACUUAAUGUGCAAGCAACUUCUACAACAGGUCUUCCUUUUCAACAAUGAGACGCUUCAAGUUAAGUAGUUAACCACGUAGAGUUUGACUAGUUUGCCAUCAUCUCCACAUGCAAAGGAGCCUGGAAAACAGUUCGUGGCAUUUCUAGACUAAUUAAUAAAGAUCGAUGAUUCUUUCUUUUGAAAAUGUCUCCCUUCACUUGACUUGUGGUUUAGUUGUGUGGGUUACAUCCUAUCUAUGUUGAGAUGAUUACUGAAGCCCUUUAUAUCUUAAUUUUGGCCAAUCAUGUCAGUGCAUUUUGCAAAACAUCAUUUUGGUGAUUGAUCUGCUCAAAGUGCUUGAAAAAUGAAAAGAAAGUGGUUAUUUUAUAGCAAUUGAAGAAGUACAUAAUUUAUUUAUAUCCCAGAUGUUAGUUUAACAUUAUUUUGUAAUUUUGGGUGCUUUGGAGUGCCCGAUUAUGUUCAUUCAACUGUUCCAUUCCAUGUGCAAUUAGAAGGGGAGAAUAGUGCAAACUGAAAAGGAGGAAGUCUGUCUAAUUCAUAAGUGCCAUACAUUGCAAUACUGAAAAUUCUACAUAUUGGUUGCUUAGUAUUUUGCCAGUAAUAAUAAUAAUAAUAAUAAUAAUAAUAAUAAUAAUAAUGAGCUCCUCUACCAUAAUCAGGAUGAGCACUCGAGAGCUGAUAAGCAGAAGGAGAAAGCAGAUCAUGCUGUUGCACUUUCUCAAGCAGAAGAUUGGAAAAGACCAGGUUUGAAGUUUUUAUAUGUUUCAGGCUCCAUACAUAUUAAGUUCACAUUGUCUUCUCUUUGGGCUUGUGUUGAAAAUUGACCCUUUCCCAGGAUAUAGAUGCCGCACAGAUAAUGAUGAAGAUCUAGAUAGGGCACUUCACGAUAGCCUUAAUCCACCUGGAUAUCGUCCUCUUGCCCCUUCUUAUGCGCCUCUACAAUAUUACAACAUAGGUUGUAGGUAAAAUACAAAUCAUCGUUGCGAAGAAUGUGUAGCUUAGUUCAGCCAAAACAUUUUUCUUAGGCAUACAUCAAACUUUAGGUGUUAAUUUGCCUUGUAGUAGAUUUGAUGAGCUGAUUGGGUUGCUGGCUGGUCAAGCGCCAUUUAUAUGAUUUUGCCAGAAUGACUAAUCAUCCUUCUGGCUUUUAAGUUAAUAUAUGACAAUGACUAAACGCCAAUGAAUUAUUUGCUAGUGCGAUGUUGCUUGAUCUAGGUGAAGGCUAACCCUCAAGAUGCAUAUACUAGCUAUGGAAAUAAGUAUUAAGCAAUGAUAUGAAUUGGCUCAAUAUGAAUACAUAUCCUUUGCAUGUUUUAAAUUCACAAAUACGACAGGAUUGCAAGAACAAUCAUAUGAAAUUUAACAUACAUUAUUCACUGGUAAGUCUUUUCUCCCUACUCCAUUAAGGCAGGUUGAGCACAAUGAAGUAAUAGGAAAUAAAGGGCAUACAGAACUAGGAUGACAUGGGGUUAAUUCAUGAGAAAUAGCAGCUCCAGAAUUUUCUGAAGAUGCAGUCUAAACAGAGUGGAAUGGAGGAAACAAAUCCAUAUAGCCAACCCAAUUAAUUUGGGUGGAGACUUAAUUUAGAUUAGUUGUUAUUGUUUUAUUAGUUAACAUACCGUAAGAAGGAAUUUAGAACUUUUAACUUCUCUGCUUGGUGCACCGCCAGGAUGCUGAACUUCUGACUUCCUUCUUAUGAUUAGGGUGGUGUAGCAUUGUGCUACAUUGAAGAUUUGUUUUUGAAUUCAGGUAAGAAUUUUCUAGGCUGUUUGGGGUUCUUGUGACUCCCAUUUUCAGUUUGCUCCAAUAAUUUAUGUAUAACUCUUUUCCCUUGCUUAUUUAAACCAGAAAUAGCUUGUAAGUGGGAAAAAUGAAGAAAAAGGAAUCAUAAGUCAGUUAGAAAAGUUUGAGCAUUCCAAUCUUGUACUUGGUUGGUCAUGAGUGCUUAUCCCUGGAACUUACAGAUUAUUAUGUGGUGGCUGCCAUCGUGACAUUGGUUAUGGCAAUUACCUUGGAUGCAUGGGAAAGUUUUUUCAUCCAGAGUGCUUUCGUUGCUCUUCUUGUGGUUACCCAAUUACUGAGGAUGAGGUAGUUUGUUCCUCUUGGUUUGCAACUAUCUUAAUUUCAAUUUUGGUUUGUCAUAUUUGUCACUAAAUUAAGUGAGUCUAAUGUCUUGAAAAUUGCACAUAAAAGUAAGAAAAUCCAAUCAUGAACUUUAUAUUUUUUGUUUCAUCUAGCUCUUAACUCAAUUUUCUUUUUCUGUUGAUCCAAGUUUUCUUUGUCAGGUAGCGAUCCAUAUCACAAGUCUUGUUUCAAAGAGUUGACACAUCCCAAAUGUGAAGUCUGCCUUCAAUAUGUAAGAGAAAAAAUUGUUCUUCAGUUUCCACUUUAUUAUUUGCAGUUGUUAUAUUGAGACAAAUGGUAGUUUUCCUAUUCGUCCUAUUAACUGCAUUUCUUAACAUCAAUUAUGAACCAGCUGAACAAUUUGAUUAACAACAAAAACAGCAGCAACAACUAACCUUUAAUUUCAAACUAGUUGUGUUGAUUUUAUGGAUUUGAACUAAGUUUCUCAAUUAAUAAUUUGACUUAUUUAAUAGAAGUUCAAUCCUUUGUAUCUGAUAAUAAUAAUAAUAAUAAUGAUUACUCUUGAUAUAAAAAAUUUGCAAUGUGUUUGAAUUUGAUUCAACAGUAUUAUAUUGUUUAUCAGUUAAGUGAAUGUAUCAAAUCAUAGAUAGGAAGAAUGGGCACUACUUGUUGAACAUGAAUGAAGCCAUUGUUAUGGACUGGAUUCAAAAACCAACCAUUAUGCUUGGUCCAGCAAAUUAUGCUUGUUUUGUGGCUUAGAUAUUAUCCACGUACAUUAUAAUAGGCUCUACUAAUAUAAUAGUUUUCACUUCAUAUAUUUUUCAGAUCCCAACAAAUGAAGUUGGUUUGAUUGAGUAUAGAUGCCAUCCAUUUUGGUCCCAGAAGUACUGCCCAUCGCAUGAACAUGAUAACACAGCUCGCUGCUGCAGUUGUGAACGCUUGGAGGUAUUCACCUGAGAUAGCAUAAAAUUUUACGGUCCGAUAGGUAAUCACUUAAUGUUUGGAGGAAAUAUGUGAGCAUUCGAAUCAAUUUUGUCUACCCAUAAUGCUUAUUGGUUAUUUUCCUUGUCUUUUUUAUUUGCUGCCAUCAUGAAGUCUUGGGAUACAAGACACUAUUCUUUGGAAGAUGGACGGAGCUUAUGCUUAGCAUGCAUGGAAUCUGCUAUUAUGGACACUGGUGAUUGCCAACCCCUUUACCAUGCCAUCAGGGACUACUAUGAAGGGAUGAAUAUGAAAUUGGAUCAGCAAAUUCCCAUGCUUCUUGUUGAAAGACAAGCGCUCAAUGAGGCUAUUGUUGGGGAGAAAAAUUUAGCAUGUGACCUCCUGCUAUAUCAUGUGGGUUUGCAUAUGAAAUUGCCCUUACUCAUUUGUGUUCCUUUCCAGGGCUAUCAUCACUUGCCUGAGACAAGGGGUCUAUGCCUUUAAGAGGAGCAGACUGUUACCAGUGUAUGAUAUAAGACAGCUAUGCUAUUAGAUUUUCUAAUAUUAAUGGUGGUUUAUGAGUGAAGAAUUGAAUCCAUACCAAGUUGUUUUCUCUUUCUUUUUUAUUAUACCCAGAUACAGAGGAGGCCAAGAAUUGGUGGUAACCGGCUAGUUGGAAUUAGAACUCAACCACAAAAGGUGACUAGGAAAAGUUGUGAGGUUACAGCUAUUCUUGUGCUUUAUGGUCUUCCAAGGUAACAGUUAGGGUAGUUUUCACUUUAUCACUUUGUCAUUUAUUGGUUGGUGUUAUGCAUCUGGGUUUGCCAAAAUUUCAAUGAAGGGUCAUGGGUUCUUUCCUAUCCGGUAAAAAAAUGAGCUUUCUUAUGUUUCUGCUUUUGGAAAUAUCUCAUUUAUUGAUUUCCCUGGUGGAUACAGACUACUAACAGGUGCUAUUCUUGCCCAUGAGUUGAUGCAUGGCUGGUUACGACUUAAAGGUUUUCAAGCCUAUCCAAAUGUUCUAUGCUUCUUUACUUUUUUUUUUUUCAACUGCACUGUUCAUUUUGAUAAUUUCCUUUCUAACAAUGCAGGUUAUCGUCAUCUUAAUCCCGAGGUAGAGGAAGGUAUCUGUCAAGUGCUCUCAUAUAUGUGGCUUGAAUCAGAAGUAUUGCCAUCAAAAGGCAUGCCAUGUACAUCAAUAGCUUCCUCCUCCUCAUCAUCCUCUUCAAAAAAGAGAGGGAAGUCCGACGUUGAAAAUAAACUGGGCGAGUUUUUCAUGCAUCAAAUUGCCAAUGAUGCUUCACCAGCUUAUGGGGGAGGGUUCAGGGCUGCUAAUACUGCUGUCAAUAAGUAUGGUUUACGUCGCACUCUUGAUCAUAUCCAGCUUACUGGCCAUUUCCUAUUAUAAUACUAACACAAGUUUAUAUGUUGCUUCAUGGUUCAUGCCCUCAUCUCUUCUUUAGCCUGAUUUGAUAUAGUAUUUUUGCUCCUUCAAAAAGAUUUGAGCUCAUUGCGGAAGUUUCAACAAACCCCCACUUAAUUUUUUGUUCUUGGGGUCCUGUAUGACAUACGCCCAAAAAUCUCUUAUAAAAAAAAGUUCAAAUAUUGAUUAUGUUCUAUUACUAUUUAGUCAAGAAAAUUCAUUUGGGAACAAAGCAGGGAGAGCAGAGAACCUUAUUGUAUUCAAUCCCUGAUGUAUUCAAGAUUAUACAAUUACAUUCACUCUGAUUACAUGUAGGUGGAGAAUAUAUGGUGUUCUGAUCUCUCUCCCCCUCCCUAUAUCUGGCUCUGCUGGGCAGCUGCCAUGUCUUCCAUGAUAAUAGUCUUAAUUAUAGUCGAGAGCUUUGGUUAUAUGUGCAGUCCAACCAGUAUAAAGAGAAUAAAUCUCAUAUACUCAAAUAACUACUAUUCUUACAACUCAAAGCCUCAAAAUUUGGUGGAACCAAUCAACAAAAUUAGUUCUCUUCAUCAUCAUCAUAAGAAGAAAAGGUCAGAACAAAUCAUUAUAAUGCCAUCUUUAGGGUGAGACAAUGCCGAAGGCUGCUAACAGUAUUGCAUUUCUAUUAAGAAGAAUAGUUCUCCUUACAGUUACAAGCUUGAACAAACACAUUAAAGAAAUAAUUAGCUUCUAGGGACUUGAAGAUCUUGGACAAACAAAACAAAAUUUGUAGAUAAGAAGCAGAAGCCGUAUCUGCGGAUUGAUUGACUCGUACUGUCAUGAGUUUGGAAGAAUGAUGUUGGAAACUGCAAAAUUCUUCAACUCAGUAUGUCAGUUACAUGUCCCAGUUCUAGAUAAGGUGAUAAGAAACUGGACUACUGAAGGUUGUCCAAUGGUAUUAAUCUUGUGUGUAAAUGUUAGACAAACUGUUUAACGAUACACUUGAAUUAUGAUUAAGCUUUGACCUAUCUACACAGAACAAUAUAAUUCUCAUAGUAGCAUCACAAAAUUAAGCACCAUGAGAAAACCUUGGAGUACAACCGAAAUUGCUAUUGCAUAUAACCGUGCGUUGAUUGUUUCAUUGCAUAUCAACCUCAGAGAUAUGCUCACAGCAACUACAAUUUGGCAGUAACAUCUGCUAAAAGCAAUUUCAGAGUCUCAUAGGUCAUAAAACAAAUGCCAACACCAGGAACGACUUUGUAGUAUUCGGGCAUAAUGCCUCUAUAUAGACCCCAAAAGCCCUCGGUCUGGAUUAUAUGUUUGAAUGUACCAAAAAGACCUGUCGUGUAAACACGGGCCCGGCCACCUGCCCCUUCCAAUUGCUUCCGUCGUCUCACAAGAUCAAGAGGAAAUGUUGCUGCAUGUUAAACAGAAUGCAUCAUUAUUCUUGAACAUGCAACUCCUUUUAACUGGAUUAGAUUUAUGAAGACAACGGAAGCUAAACAGGUCUCAACCGUUCAUAUACAUGUAUGCAUAUAUAGUGCGCACUGGGAAAAGUCGGUCACUUGGAAUAAUAAUCUCAAAAGCAAAUGAAUUACAAAAAAGAACUCCACAUCUGGUAUUAAGAAUUCUAAGCCAUCAGCAUAUAUGAAAUACUGGCAGGAGUAGGCUACCUUGCACUUGCAUGCAAACAGAAAAUGCACCAAUGCAGCUAUUAUAAAUGCAAGUUAUGUUAAUCUCAAACAAACUGAACAUACCGAGUUCUAGCUCACCAUGAGAAUUUGGACUUGUAGCUGCUUCCAGUACAGUUCUGAUUAUCGCUAGGGUCGAUACUUUUGAACACGAGCAAUAAACAUAAGGGAAAGUACAAAAGAGUACCCUAAUAUUUCAGACUUAGAUUUUAGGGACUUGUGGUUCAAAUUUUUCACAAAAUGAUAUCUUAAGCUUUACUUUGUUAGCACUUUAAAGAUAAAUGCUCCAACACCGUUAAUUUCACUAAUGAGACUCUGUAAGUUUAUUAAAAUGAUAUUUUUUAAAAAAAUUUAGAUCUCAUAAAAAACUGAAAAUAAAAAAAAAAAUGAAGUAACAAUUUUUUUGGAAAGGAAAUAUAUUAUAUUAUUUAUUCUACACUGCCACAUUAGCAAAAUUAAUGACACAAAACAUUGUCCUUAAAGUGCUAACACAGAAAAGUUCAGGGUUUCACUUCGUCAUGAAUUGAAUCACAGGUUUGCAUGAAAACCUCAAGGUACUUCUUUGUACUUACCCCGAAUUUCAUUAAAAUUAGGAACAAAAAAUACUUUGUACAAAAAACUAUGGAUUUAACCUUUUCUAUCAAAACCAGUGGGCUGAACCUUGACAACUGCAUCACAAGGCUUGAAGGAUUUAUAUAUCCCAAUUUAAUGCAAUUGCCAAGGAAAUCUAAUUGAGAUGCAUACCUCAAAGAGGACAGCUCUCACAUUUGAUUUCCGAGAGAGCAGUACUAUUUCACCUGAUAGUAAUGCCAUCUAUUAUAGAAUCAACUGCAAUGCUUGGGAAGACAAGUUCCACAUGAAAUGUCGGAGAAGAGAAGUUAAUGCAGUUGAGAUUCUUAAAUAGAAAAAGAAGUUAGAUGAAAAGCAAUGAAACAGUAAAUUUUUUCCUCGACUUCCUUACUAAAAUUAUAAAAUGCAAAAUAUAAAUAACUCCUGUCGGGUCUCUGGCUCUAGGGGUCAGUCUGGUUAGAUGCUUAAUGCAGAGCCUGCACCACACCCUGCUUCUCUGCAUCAAAAGCAUAAUAAACAGCUACAACAUUAACUUCUUUGUUUAGAAGUUGACAUCAUCUAGUCAGACAAAGAGUAGUCCAAUGAAAAGUUUACCAAACAUUGGUAUCUGCUAACUAACAUUUGACACAGUCAGUAAAGUUCUGUGAGAAGUGAAAAAAGUUCUGUAACCUUUACAUCUCCUGUUCCUCUGUCUUGUGAUAAACAUAAGGAGCAGACAUGACAUGGAAAGGGCCAUUAUUCAAAGGGAAUAUGCAGAAAAAAGAUAGGAAUAUGUGCAGGCAUUUUGCAGAAAUAACACAGUAAACAUUAAUCAAGGUUGAAAAACUUGGACAGUUAAUACUUUGCUGAGAUGAACUUUCAAAAGCAAAGACUAUGAUUCAUUUAACAUCACUAGUAAAUCUCGAUUAAAAUUUGCAAGAAGCCUUUCAUUUAAUAUGUUUCAGGUUAAUCACCUGUUGAGGAUGCAAUUCCCGAUAGACUGCCACAAGCCAAACUCACUGCAACAGUAGGAUCAUGAGGCCUGAAACAAAAUAGAAAACUAUAAAGAUUACAACUGAAGAAUAGGUUUGGUGGGAUACUCUUAUGGGAACCAUAGUGUUAUUGAUCCAACUAGGACGCUUACCUGUGCGAUUGCCAAAAAGAUCUUAAAGUCUCAUACACUGAAAAGCUGAUAGCUAUACUGGGUCCGACACCCUGCAUUAGUAUUAAAAUCAAUAUAUAUAUAUAUAUAUAUAUAUGAGAAAUGAUGGGAAUUGUCUAGAGUAAAUCUUAUAAACAUAAACACAGAAUGAUACCAAAAGUGUUGCUCCAAGUCCCUUGUAGAGUCCCAAAACACCCUCCUCUCUGCUAAUUGUUUGUAAUGCAUGCAAUAUACCUCUGUAAUAGAUUACAUUUGUCUGCACAUUUAGAAUAGAAUUAAUCAAUAAACAAGCAUAAUGAACACAUGAAAAUAUAAUUACAAGUUUAAAGAAAAAAAUAGGCUAACGUUUCUUUACACUUUCCUCAAAGAAAUUUUGAAUUAUAAUUUGGGAAAUAAUAGCAGUUUUCACGUCCCUGAGCAUGAAUUAAUGUGUUGACAAGCCACAUAAUGAGCAGGUAAGAAUAAGGAAUCUAUAAAACAUGAUAAUGGGCUGAAUUUAUCAAAGGUUAAGCAUAUCUCGUCUUACCUGAGCUGCAAGGCGGGUUCUUACAAGAUCCAACGGAUAUGUAACAGAUGCUGCUGUUAUUCCAGCCAUACCACCGCCUAUAAAAUGAACGAGGACAUCUCCACCCACAUUUUUCCUGUGGUUUUCUAGUCCCGGUAUCAUAUGUAGCAACUGCAACACAAGUUCACCUCGUCAAAGUUUGAUCAGUAAAGCUUAAGAUUAAGCACUAGCAAUGCAAUCAAACCAUUUUUCCAUAAUCAUUCAUGAAAUUUUAGAUACCUUUUUAUAGUGCUCGUAUGAAUAAAAGUUGACAGAUGAGUAAGGCAACCGAUGAGCAAUUGUGACAAGAUUCCCCUUCCAGAAAGCUCUAACUCCUUCCUCCCUAAAUAUUCGAGAGGCCUCAUGCCAUAUGCUAGCCUUUCUCAAUGUUGCAACAUCAGAGUGCAUACCUUGCACCUGCAAAGAUAAGGUCAUGAAGAAAAUGGUUCUCAAUACAAAGCGUUCCUAAAACCACAUUGAUCAUCCUAAUGUUAAAUCAACCAAAACUAGCAUUCACUAUUUCCACCUGUGAUGAUCCCUUGUGACGAUUGGAGGACUAUUUCAACCCAUGUCUUAAAAUUCCCCAAAUCCAAGCAUCAAGCUAGAAGAAACAUGAACUCUGGAUAUCGCAAAUAACUGAAAAUCUCAACCUAUAGAACCUGCUUUAUUAUAUAUCAACAUUUUUUAAUAAAGAAUAGCUGUUUACCAACAAACUAAUAGCUAAUAACUGCUCAUCACAACUUGUAACAAAAGUUGCCAAAUCAAGUAAUUAACUGCUUAUUCACGCAAAUCAGACUAUCAUACAACAUCCUUUACUCUUUAAUUUGAGUUGGUUCUCAAAACUCCAUCGAUGGCAUGCUCCUCCAGUUUAUCCAUCGAAGAAUUCCAUUACACUUAACACGUAUUCUUAUUGUUUAAAUCAUUAAAAAUAUGGUGGUGUUCAGAUAAGCUCAUACCACUAAGGAAACAAAGAAGGCAACUUUACACCUCAAACAUGGCAAGUUAAGAACAUUAACAAGAAAAUCUUCCCAUAAAAAUUAUCCCCACUCCCAUACUUCCUUAGAAAAAUUAUAUAAAAAAGAAGAUUUCACAGAAAAUUAAACCAUAAAUUGAUAAAAGUAAAAAAGAAAACCUGAAAGAGUAUGGUAAGGCGAGCAAGAGGUGCAGUGCAAGUCUUGCUAAGAGCACCCGCCAUGCCACCGGCCAUGAGCUGCGAAACUGUUCCGAUUUGGGAUUGCUGCUGUUGCACUGGCUUUUGCUGUUUCUUCUGCGAAUUGAGAGUUCUUGUCCCUCCCUCUACCACCACUCCAACUCUCGCCUCUGUCUGCAUCUCUCCCUCUCUCUCUCUUUAUCUCUGCGUUUCCUCUUUCAAAAUUUAAACGUAAAACCCUCUUAUAUUCAAAGAAAAUAAAAGAAGAAUUUGGUUCACCAAUUUAUGAACUAACAGAAACCCACGAAAAAUUUCUUCGAAUAAUUGUUCUCUUUAAAGAGAUUAUUCACUUUUGAGUUCUAGCUUCCGGGGUGACCUCCGCUUAUGGCGCAAGCAAAAGUGACAAAAAGAAGAAGAAGAAGCAACAGGGCACAGAGACUGCGUCGUUUUAAUCCAACCUACCCUUGACAACUAAACCAAAGUCCAAAGAUUCGUCCUUUGGUGCUUGGUCGGUUUUGGACUUUACGCUAUCUUGUAUCAGCUUAUGAUACCCGAAACAGCAUCAGCCGUUGAUAUGUUAUACAAUAGAGUGAUGUGAUUGACUUUGACAUAAGGGUAAGCGAUCUUAACGGUUGAAAUUAAUUCAUUCUGUAGAGAGGGAAGUAGGGAAGUGUUUGGAAGUUGGAAUAAGUGGAAAUUCGGAUUGGAAUAUCCUAUGAAAGUCGGAUUUCGGAUGAAGUACGUUUGUUUGAAAGAUGUCGGAUGCUAGAUUUAAAACGACGGUGCUUUUGCAAGUCGGCUAAUCCUUUUAACUUCACUUGUCGACUGCCACGUGCACACACAAGUUUUUGCCAUAUCACUCGUAUGUACCCUAGGUGCCCUCUUCCUUGAGCUCGAAGAAGUUCAAUUGUUUUUGGACAAAUGCAUGUCUUUAAAUUCGCUAGUUCACUGGCACGCACUAUUUUAAAAUUAUUUAAUUAAAAUAUUUUUAUAUUUUAAAAUUUUCAAUUAUUUAAUAAUAUUUUAUUAAAAUAUUAAUUAUUUUUUAAUAUUUAUAUUAUUUAAUUUUUAUAAUUUUAAAUAUUUUAUUUAAUUUUUUAUUAAAAUUAUAAUUAAAAUAAAUGACUAAAAAAUAAUUUUAAUAAAUAUAAAAAAAUUUUAAUAAAGCAAUCGUAUAUUUAAUUUAAUAAUAAAUUUAUUUAAAUAAAUUUGACAAAUCUCAUUUAAUUUUUAAUUUUCAUUUAAUAAAAAAAAUUUUAAUAGAUUAAUUUUAAAAUAGGAGAUUAAUAAUUUUUUUAAAAAAAUAUAAAUACUUAAUUGUAACUUUUUUAUUAUUUCAUAAAAAUAAUUUAAAUUUUCUUAUAAAAAUUAAUAUAAUGAUAAAAUAUUUUAUUAUCUUAUUUAAAAUUAAAAUAUUAUUAUAUUUUUAAAUUUUUUCACUAUUUUUUUCUUAAACUGAUAAUUACAUUUGUUUUUAUCAGAUCUUAAAAUGAUAAUUUUUCAAAAAAUAAUUAUUUAUAAAUAAAUACAUCAUUUUAUAUAAAUUUAUGAGACAAAUACUCAAAUUUUAAAUAUUUCAAUUUGUUUGAAUAAAUUUAUAAAAAUAUAUUUAUAUUUAUUUUUAAAAUUCUGUUAUAUUUUAUUAAUUUAAUAUGUUAUUCAUAUUUCGAGAAAACUCUUAUUUAUUAUAAUAUAACUAUUUAAAAAAUAAUAAUAAAUAUAAUUAAAAUUUUAAAAAUUAAAUAAUUUAAAUCAAUUAAUAAUUUUGUAAUAAAAAAUUAAAGAGUUAGUGACGAGCAUGUUAAUUUCACGAGGGUUGUAUCAUUUCCCUUCGCUACGGAUCAACUAAUAAAAUUAGGAUGAUUAUUGAAUUGGUUUAAUUUAAAAUUAAAUUAAAUUAAAUUAAAUUAAAUUAAAAAUUAAAAAUUUAAUAUUUUUAAAUUUAAAUUUUUAAUAAAUUUUAUUUUUAAUAUUUUAAAAUUUAAUUAAAAUAUUUUAACUUUAAUUAUUAUUUAAUUUAUUUAUAUAAUAAAAAAUAAUAUAUUAUUAUUAUUAAUUGAUUCAGUUUGAUUUUAAUUAUUAAUUAUUAAUUGAUUGAGGUUGAUUUUAAUUAAAAUUAAAUUGAAAUAAUUAAAAUUUUUUAAAUUAAAAAUUAAACUGAAUUAAAAUAAAUAAAAAAUUAAAUUAAAUUUAUAAAUUAAUUUAGUUUGAUUUGAAUUGAAUAGCCGUAUGGAUAAAAUAAGAAGAUUGCCGAGUUGAAGUUGCAUUAAAAUCUAAAGUGUGUUUUAUACUUUAAGCACAAUUAAGAAAAGCAGAAAACUACAUCCAGAAAAUUUUGGGCAAUCUUAAUAUCUUAACCCUCUAUUGCUUCCCAAACUGCUGGUUCUGUGCCUGUAAACUUGCAGCCGAUGCUGAAUCCAUCAUACUGAUCAUUUCCAAGUUUACAUGGUGAGCUAAGUUCAUGGGAACUGAUCUUGACAAAUCAAUCCCAAUAUUUUGAUGGAGUCCUAAUGCCAAAGAAACUCCAUUGCUUCCAUUGACAGCAGCUUGGUAAUGGCUCGAAGAAUUGUUAAAUGCAUUCCUCAGAUCUCGUCUCUGCAUGGAUAUAUCAGCUAGCUCUUGGUUUCUGGAGCGUUUGGCUUGGAUAUCGUCGGGCUUCUGGGGCUGAGUUGUUUGGAUUUGCGACAGAUUCUCCGCAGAGAAAUCAGGCAGAAGGAAACUGGGAUUGUGGUUGACUGCUUCUAAUGGUGAUUGAGCUUGCUGAGAUGCAAGCUUGUAAACUUCUUCUACCAUUGGUUUCCAAAGUCUAACUCUUGCAUUGAUGAACCAGUUAGAAACCUGCAGAUACAGAGAUUAACUGAAAUGCUAGAAACAAAAUUUUUAGCCUUUCAGGUUGAUUCCUGAUACAUUUGAAGCAAGCAGGCAUGUCUCCAAAAACAAUGGAAGGAAAUUUGAAGUGAGAAAGUCACCUGAGUCCUUGACAGACCUGUCUGUUGAGCAAGAAUCUGCUUUUCUGAGUCAGAGGGAUAGCUGUAAUACAUAAAACAUAAUUUCAUAAACUACAUAAUUAACACUUAUAAUCAAUUUCUUUUAACCACAGAAGAUGUUCUAUAUGUUUUUGAAUCACUUACGGGUGCAGGAAGUGUUCGAAUAACCAUUUCUUCAGGACAGCAACUGCAUGAUCUGGGAGUCCUCGUUGUGAUCUCCAAACAGGAUGUUGAAGAAAACUGAUGUUGAGACUUUGAUUUUGGUUUUGCUCAUCAGCUGCCCAGAACCUUGGAAUCCUUUCACCACUGAUGAUGUUGCCAUCAUCAGAAGUCUUGCAUGUGAAAUGAAUUUGGUCCAAAAGGGCAUUCUUCAAGCAAGUGAAAUGCUUUGAAAUAGUUUUGAUAGCAUAACAAAUGUAAGGAGCUGCAUGUCCAAGACCAGCAACAGUUUCAAAUGAAGCAACAGCUGAUUGCAUUUGCUGGCAAUAGAGCUUGUAUCUUCUGUAUACCUGAAACAUAUAACCAGACAACAAAUUUUUCAUGUCCAUAUCUGAAAUUCAUGAUCUUACAACUAGCAAUUUGUGGGUAGAUGAAAAGGGUAUGCCCAAAUUUUUUUUGUAGCCUCUGACUAGGAUUCAAACUCGAUAUCUAGAAUGAGUUAAAAGCUCAUUGGUUAUGUUUGUUAAUUAAUGAAGAAGCGUUCAAUAAUAGAAAUUUGACUGGCACAGUAAUAUCUGCAACAGUUUCAGUUAAAGAAGCAGAAGGAAAGCAGGAAAGAAAAUAAAGCAAAUAAAAACAGAAGAACCCUAAAGGAACAGUACAUUGAUUCAAUAUAUGACAAGACAAGUCAUCUUUUUAGCAAAUGUCUACUAAAUUUACUCAAAUAUCUUGUCCCAAGAAACUGUUGUCCUGACAUUAACAAUCAAAUCACUAGUUUUCAAUAACUCAAUUGGAAGAAAACACUAACAGCAAAGAUUCACAAGCAUCCAUUAUCUUUCAUCAACUUUCUUUUAUACUAAUCUUGGACUGUUCCAUGCAUAGUGUUUGAUUGGCAGUGCAUGUGUGAAGCUUUUUUACUGUACAUGUUUGGAAGAAAAGAAGUUUGAAUUAUGCUGGCCUGUGCAUAAAGUUUCACAUGCCUCAUACACUGGAGAAAUCCAUAUAAAAAAAUAUUUUUUGAUGUAAUUAGUUCCUAUCCGAAAUCAAAUUCAAAAUCUUUCAGUUUUAAAGAUUAAGGUUUAAGUUCGAAGCUGAAUCAAACCUGUUGAUAUUGAAACUAAAAUCAGACAGGAAGUAACUUGAUCAGAAGCAAUAAAGACUGAAUUUUUUCACUUUAAAGCAAGUAUAGCAAAUCAGAUACAUCAAAUUUGAAUUAGAAUCAAAUCAUUAAACUGUCAAUUCGAUUCGAUUUCUGCCCGAAAUUGGACCAACCCAUGUCUCUAUAAUGUACUCAAAAUCAAAAGCCAAAUACUAUAUGAAUAUUUAAUUUUCAAUUAUACAACUAAUCUCAUUAAUUUUCCAAUUUGAAAUAAUAAAAAAUAAUGAGAAAAUUUAUUCACGCCAUUUUUUUAAAAAAAUGUAACGUCAAAUAUUUUAGAAUUUAAAAAUGUUUAUAUAUAUAUAUGCCUAAUAAUUAACAUGGUCAUUUACUUAACAAAAUUCCAUUGAAGCUGAGUGCUCAAGCAAGUCUCACAAUAUAUUUUCUUAACAACCAAACAAAAAUAUAUUUGUUGCAUUCAUUUUUUCGAAUUGGGAAAAUUAACAUCUCAUUGAAACAGUUGCAAAGAAUAUUAAUGAGAAGGAAAAGUUAUUAAAUUCUAUAACAAAAUGAAGAAGAAAUUAAUUAACAUACCUCGUCAAGCAUCAAGAUCAACUUUGAAUUCUUCCAUCGAUGCUCUAUAUGAUCAGCAAAAGCAACACUUUCUCGCAUAAUAACUUCACUUUCGUUCAAGAAAUCCAAAGAAAGAUUCAAAACUUCAUAAUUUGCAGUACCACAAAGAUCAUCCAAAAUCUGCUGUGCAGGUUUCAGGAACCUUGAACUUUUCAAGAUUGUUGCAUAGCCAGUAAACGGACCAAGAGGGAAAGAACUUGUGAUUUCGCCAUUCUGCUUCAAGAAAUCUCCAUAAACUGAAACAGCAUUGCAUCUUUGGCUGUCGAGUUGAAAUGAAAGAGACAAAGAUAAACCCUGAGGGUGGUAGCUCAUCAAGUGAUGAUCUUUAGGGUUUUGAAGGGAGGAGAACGGAGGAGAUGGAGAAGGGUUCAUGAGGGUUGGUGGAUUUUGCACUUCUUGGCUGGUUUGAGAAGUGAAACGAAGCUUGUUUCUUCUGUUUUGCUGUGGUACAUGGAAGGAUUCAAAGUUUUCUGCCAUGAAAGGAAAUGAAAGCUUUCUGGGUUUGAGAGAGAAAGAGAGAGAGAGGGAAUGUGAAAGAGAAGUGAUGAUGAUUGAUGAAGGACAAAGGGUUAUGAUAUAAUGAUUAAAUUUUUUCUGAGUUGCAGAGAGUGUGGUUGCAGUGACAGGCCUGAGAGGUCUUGACGUGAAGUAUGGGGGAAGAAGCUUUUUCAAAGAAAAUAAUUUUUGUAAAUCAAGAUUGAAAAUUUUUUUUAUGGGAAAAAUGAAACAUCACAUGAAGUAACAGUUUUAUUACAUUCUGAAAAAGAGAAUUUGAUUUAAUAUUUUAAUACAAAACUGUACUUGGUCAAGUUAUUAUUAGGUUACAAAAUUUCAAUACUAAUCUCUCUAAAUUGCUUUUGUUCAUAUAUAAUUAAUUGAUGUAUUUGGAUAAGAUGAUUUUUUGUCAAAUAAUUUUUUUUCAAAAAUAUUAAAGAAAAAUUUCAAUUUACUUAUAAGUUGAAUAAUUAUUUUAAAGACAUUUUCACCAAAAGGUAUUGUAAAAAAUUAUAUAUUUUUUCUGGAUUUUUAAAUAAAAUCUUCUCCUUAUUAAAACAAAACAAAAAAAAAACUCAAAUACCUUACCAUCCUACCUCCUAGCCAACAACACAAACACACAUAAAUUCAGAAUAUUAAUGGCUGCCGAAAGCCAGCAAAAAUUGUCUAAACAAUUGGUGUUGAAGUCCUUUCCAAUACAGCUCUUGCCAUCUUUCUCUGUAAAAUGAUCCACCAAGAUUAUAAGAAAGCUAAAUAGGAAGUGUCCAAAUUCAUGCCCACUAAGUUUCAAAGCUAUACCCAAACUUCUCAUAGAGUCAGGAACUUAGUCAUAAAAAUAUUCUUCUAUUCAGCUAGAGAACUGACAGAUGCUGGUGGGAUAUGGAAAUUGUGAACAAUUUUUCUGUUCAGUGUAGCUCCUUGCUUGACAAAUUAAGAAUGUUGUGGGUUGAGAUUCAUGGUAGAAUCCCACAUCAUGAGAUUAGUAAAAUAUAUAUAUAAAGCUAGCUCAGGACUAGACUGUUAUAAUUGGUUUAUAUUAAUCAUUCUGAAUCAAAAAAAUCAUGUAGAAAUAAUGAAAAAAAAAGAGAAAUCCAAGACACUAGCAAACAUACUCGGUUGCAAUAAAGCUGGGCCUAAUUAAACCUUUUAAAAAAAAAUUAAGAUCCUAAUCAAUGAUCGAUGAAAUUCCUGAGUCUCACUAUACUUGCAUUGUAGGCCUGCUUGCUGCAUAACUUGUGGGUUGAAACCACAGCAACAUUGAGCAGUGUUGGAAAUUUACUCACCUGAGUUUAUUAGUGUGACCUAAGAGCCUGCCUUAGGUCAUUCAAAGUCUUGGGAACUUCAAACCAAAGAUCAGGAUCGGAAGGAUAAGGUAAUUUUUUUCUUCCUUAUAGCAGCAACCAAAACCUGGAACAUAGGUGUGAAAGGGCUCCCUUCUGGCAACCGAUAUCGUUACUAAGGCCUACCACGAUAGAAUGUUACAAUACUAAAAGCCAUGAUGAUGGCGAGAAUAAGGUAUGCUGCACCCCAGCUCCCGCUGUCUUCAACAUAAACUAUAACCGUAACGCCAAGAAAUAGGCCGCAAGGAACUGAAAAAAAACCCAAGUUGAAGUAUUCUUCUUCCUUUCCUCCGAGUGACCAUCGUCAUCAAAUUGAUCAGCUUCAAAGCUCUCAAGGCAUGGCUUGUGUCCUCCUGUCCCAAGAGAGAGACUGUACAUGGCAAGGAAAAACACCACUACGUGAAUUUUUCUGGGAUUCUGACAUAUGACUGAAUUGCAUGGCUCAGCUUGUCAAGAGGCUUAGACCCUGAAGUUUUAGCGAUAUAUAUAAACCUUUACACACAUGAACCAUAUAAUAAAUUUGAUAUAUUCGAUUGUAGUGUUUAUAUGAAUUAGAAGUUCUUAAAAUAUUUAUAUGUUCUACUAAAAAAUAUUUAUUUAUUUUAAAAUUUAACUAAUAAUUAUUAAUUUAUGUUUUUCAAAAAAUUUGAUAAUAUUCUAAAAAUCAAUGAAACUCAAUGUGUUGUGAUUUAUUUUUAAUGCAUAUCCAAGAGAAAAAUAAAGGAUUGCCCCAAAUUCCCUUAUAGUCUUUAUUGCGAUUUAUUUAAAAUUAUUUUUAUACUUAAAUUAUUUUAAUUUAUUUUUUUGUUUUCUUAUAAUUCAAUUAAAAUAAAAAAUGUUAUUAUAAUCACCAAAAAAAUAUAUUAAUCUAAUGUAAAUUUUAAUCCAAAACCAAUCAUAGCUAAAUAAAUAAAGUUAACUAUUACCUCUAUAAUAUAUAUAUAGUCCUCCUUUAAUUAACCUAUACCAAAUAUAUUUUAAUUGAAAUUGAAAAUCGAGAGUAUUAUAUUUUUUAAUAAUCAACUCAGACUUUUAUAAAUGGAAUAAAUACUAAUCGAGAGUAUUAUAUUUUUUAAUAAUCAACUCGGUGUGAAUAAGAUAAUGCAUUACGUUUCAGUUUCGAGCCUAAACAGCCAGUUUCCAAUCUUUUCUUUCACUGGAUUUAAAGCCUAUAUAUAUUUUUUAUUAAGAAAUUGAGCAGCGGAUGUCUUUUGUCUGUUUAUGCCCAGCACUGAACAAGGCUACUGUGUUUUUUGUUUGAACUUAGAUAGACAUUUGGAGUGGGGGUUCAUGGGUUUGAGGGGCUGCACCUGCUGUGAAGUUUAUGGCCUGAUUCACCUUCUCAAUGAAAGAUCUGGACAAUUUGUACACCAGGCAUCACAAAAUAAAUUAGUACAUCUCAAUCAUUGUCCGAUUACAAAAGUAGUUUUAACGUCCCACCAUCUCAAUGAUGCAUGAUACUAGUGCAUCAUUGUUAGUGAUGUACAAUGGAAAUUCAUUAUUAGAACAGAUUAGGCCAGUGAAAUCAUGUCAAGACAGUGGAGAAUAGGUCAAUUGGGCUGAAAAAUACAUUUUUCAAGUGUAUACACACGACUACUAAGAAUAAGAAACACUACAACAUCACUCGAAGUUAAACAUAUAGGAAUGGACAAGUACCCAUUCCAAGGAAUUACUUAUACUCAUUCAUAUGAUUCCUUACAGUUUUUACACUUCAGCAAUUCAUGUCAAUUUUCCUACAACAUGUAUACAUUUUCUCAAAAUGCAACAUAAGUACAUUCUUAAUUGCCAUAAUUCCUAACAUUUCCUACCAUUCAAUGAAUCAAGUUUAAGAUCUGUCUUAAAUUUGAGAGAACCUUCUUUACCUAAUCAGUUCUUUUGUUCAUUGUUGAUUGUUUGUAAUGAAAUAUUAACCUGCUAGUAUGGCCUCUUGGGAGAGUAUUUUACAGAAGGUGAAAAGGGUCGUGUACCUUCUUUGUCAAAUGACCAAAAAUGAAACUUUUUUGGGAGUUCUGGACUCUUCUUUCUCAAUGUUGUCAAGAUCAGGAUCUUGCUAAUUAGAACAACAUGGUCUGUUGUUCAUAUCACCAGACUGAUUUGCAACAUUAAUUGUAGUUCCUUGAAGUGCAGUUGAUUUAGCUGCUGCCUGUGCUGCCAAAGCUUUCUUGCAAACAAUAUCGUAGACAUCAAGCAGAAUGGUCUGAAAUGCUUUCUCCACAUUCAAGGCUUCCAAUGCUGAAGUCUCAAGGAAUGCAAUGGCUUCCUUCUCAGCCAACAACUGACCAUCUUCCGUUGGGACUGCUCUCAGGUGGUUGAGAUCAGACUUGUUCCCAGCCAUUAUGAUCACAAUGUUGGAAUCUGCAUGGUUCCUUAGUUCACGGAGCCACCUUUGGAGAUUGUCAAAUGUUUGCCUCUUUGUUAUGUCAUAAACCAAGAGUGCACCAACUGCACCUCUGUAGUAUGCACUGGUGAUGGCUCUGUACCUUUCUUGACCAGCUGUGUCCCAUAUCUGUGCUUUAACUGUCUUCCCUUCUACCUGUAUUAAAAUCAACCAAGCUUAAUGAACAAUUAAAUUAUACAAGAAAAAUAACAGGUUUAGGAACUUCAAGCUUUAGAAGCAGCCAGACAAUUGAAAAUUUUGGGUAACUUACUGGUAAUACAGAGAAUGCCUAUCCCAUUCAAGAGGCCAAUAUUUCACAACCCAACAUCACAGAUUCUACUCAUAAUCCAAUUAUGGCAGAAUAUUAUCAAACUCUUAUGCUUUGUUUGGAUGGAGGGAAGAGAAAAAGAAAAGAAAUUUAAUUUCCCAAAAUUCUCUUGUUUGGACAUUAAAUAGAGGAGAGAAAAGAAGAGAUAUGGAGUGAAAGGAGGGGAACUUAUAUUUCUCAAGUCCUCAUAUUUAAUUUGGAGAUGGGAAAUGGAGAGAAAUGAAGAGAAAUGGGUAUUAAUUAUAUUAAAAUACUUAAAUAUCCUCAACCUUUUAAAACACAACCAAGUAUCCAAACAGAGGGUAAGCAGUUUCUUUUGGUAAUUGGAAAUUUUCAAAGGAGAAUGCUAAUAGUAUAGUCUGUUUAUCAUCAAAUAUGGAAUUCAAAUUCCCAUGUUCUAUGCCAAAAUUAAUAUUUAUGUUCAUCAUUUAUAAGAAUAUAGUAAUAAGAAAUGUCAAAUAAAUAUACAAGUAUGAAAUGAAGAACAUUUCAAGAGCAAUGAGAGAUUCAUUUAACAGAAUUUAAACUCGAGAUCCUUUUAAUGAAAAAAAUUCUUUAUAUCCUAAAUAACUAGGGAAAAAUAAGUGAUUAAUGGGAUUGAUCAAUUGAAAAUAAUAAAAAAAUGGAAAUUCGAAGAUCCCAAUUCAAGGGUAGGGAAAAGGGUACCUGAAGAGUCCUGGUAGCAAACUCCACGCCAAUGGUGGACUUAGAAUCCAAGCAAAAGUCAUUACGAGUAAACCUGGAAAGAAUGUUGGAUUUACCAACACCUGAAUCCCCAAUCAACACAAUCUUGAAAAGAUAAUCGUAUUCAUGAUCCACCUUGUAUGCCAUUUAGUAGUAUUCUCUUCUACUUCUUCUUUUUCUUCUUUCUCUCUUUUGCGUUGCCAAACCUACAUCUCACGCCCAUUAACACUUCACAUAGAACAAAAGAAAAAAUAUAUAUAUAUAUAUACAUCAAAGGGAUUCCAAGGAAAGAAAGGAACUUACAUAAAAGAGUAUGAUGGAAAUUGAAAUGAAAUGUUGUUGAAAGCUUUUGGUGAAGGAGAAGGUUGAGGGAAAAUAAGAGAAAGGAGGCGUUUUCCAAGAGGGAGAGAAACUAAAAACAGGUUAACUAAGGAAAAGGCGCCUAACACGGCUUUUCAUUUGGGUUAAGGAUAGAAAUUCCUGCUUUAAAUUUAAAUUUCAUCCUAUCGUUUUAUAUAUGAAUCAUAUCCAAAUGAAACUAAGCAAGCAUUGCAUCUCAAUUGUUGGAAUAUACAUUUGGUAGGUUACAAGGGUGUGUCUAAACUUAGCCCCGAAGAUCACCUGUUCCCUUUAUUCCAUUUUACUUUAUUUUCUAGUCACCUACGCACGCACCUGCUGGUGUGAGUGGAGCGUAAUUCUAUUCUUUUCCUAAACAUGGCAAAUUAAAACGGUCAUAAUUUUUUCCUUUUUCUGAACAAUUAAAACAGUCCAGUCCGAUCCAAAUUGAUUCAACUAAUUUUUAGGAUUCAUUUUUCAUUUGCCUCAAAAUGAUUAAUUCAAACAGUUUCGUAUUAAAUUUGUGAUGAUCUCAUCGUAACUGAAUUAAAUACUCUCGGGUAUUGUAGUUGGCUAAUACUUCAGACGGUUCCGCCUCGUCUCACACAGGUAGCCUUUUUCUCCUUGCAGGUCCAUUGGUUCUGCAUAAUUUAUCUGACCAAAGUGGCUUUAAUAACCCAAAUAAUUUAGCAGUUUCAUGCUAACUAUUAUAUAUAAUUCGAAAUUGCUGUAAUUCGCCGAUAUGAGAAUGUCUCCCACAUUCAAACUGCUCAACUGGGACAACAGAAGCCGUGCGGUGAUCAGUCGCCAUAUACUCCGUUGUGGAUAGAGGCCAUAAAGGUGUGGAAAUACCCCCUAAAAAUUAGGCAGAAGACAAACAGUCAUGAAGAAGAACUUUCAGUCAUGAAGAAGAACUUUCAGUCAUGAAGAACUUUCAAAAUGAAGAAGAGGAGACCAUAAUCACUGCAUGCAGAGCGGAUUAUAUUAAAAUUCAUAUUUUUUCCUUAAUAAAAUCAUAUAAAAUUUUAGUUUCAUUUAAAAUGAAUUUAUUUAAAUUAAAAAUAAUAAUAAUUUCAUUCCAAAUAAGAGAAUUAUUAUUAAAAAAAAAUUGAAUUGAAUUUUUAUAAAAUUUUGGAUACCAAAAACAAAGUAUAAAAUUAAAAUAAUCUUCAAUCUUUUUAAAAAAAUUUUACUUCAUCCAAUUGGCAUGAAUAUAUUCAAAAGUCUACAAGCAUAAUAUUUCAGCAAAUUUAUUCAAAUCUACAUAAUAUAAAAAAAAAUGGUAAAAUAACCAUUGAUAAACUUUUCAAGUUGAUUGAUAAUUAUAUUAUUAUAAUUACCUAUAAUUCAAACCGUUGACUAAUGAAGCCGGACAUUAUUUUUAGACUCAAAACAUUAUCAAUGGUAGCUGACUACACAGGACAACCACUAGCGUCCAUAAUAUAUAUAUAUAUUUUUUAUUUUGAAAUUAAUUUUUCUUUUGAUAUUACAUACUUGAAUACAUUGGAAUACAUUGGAACAAUCGAACAUCAGACUUAUAAAAGCUUAGCUUCUUCUACUUAUCUAACACAACCCAAAGCAAGCAAGCAUUCUAAGCUCAACAAUGGAUGCCAAUGUCUCUCUUCUUUCAUGGCUUCUCUUGCUUAGCCUUUCAUGCGAACUACUCGUUCCCAGCACCACAGCUGCUCAUGCCAAUCCAAAGGUAAACAGAGAUCUGACUUCUGAGAACUACUGGAUUUUCAUAUUUUGUUUAGAUUCUAACUGCAGAGCUUAUUCAGUCUUAUAUUGUCUAUAUGGGAGAACGACCUAAAGGCCAAUUUUCCAUGUCAUCGCAUCACUUGAGCAUGCUUCAGCAAGCCAUCGGCAGGUCUUUUUCCUUUAUUUUCGAGAUUGAAUUAUAAUUGUACAUUUUUAUUUUUAAGAAAUUAACUAAGUAAAAUGCAAACAAAUGCAGCAAUUUUUCGCCAGAAUCUCGACUAAUCCGUAGCUUCAAAAGGACUUUCAAUGCCUUUGUUGCGGAUUUAACUUGGGACGAAGCACAAAAAAUAGCAGGUCAGUAAUUUCUUUCUGUAACAGUCAGCUGACUGUUUUUACUGUGAAAGUCAUCCCAUAUUGAAAAAAUUAUAGAAAAUUAAAAAACUACUAAAUAAUUUGGAUUAAUCAUUUUGAAUUAAAUGGAAAGUGGAUUUAAAAGUUAUUUAGGUCAGUUUGAAUCGGACUAUUUCAAUUGAUAUCAGAACCAGUUUAGAUCAGAUAAAUUGUGGGCCUGUAAGGAAAGAGUUAUCCGUGAGAGACGAGGUGGAGCUGCCUGAAGUCCUAGCGAACCACAGUAUCUAAAGGUCCGGUUCUGGUUAGCAAUUAUAUUCGAUUUGGUCUUCGUUGUAAAAUUUAGUAGGACCGAGUGUAACGGUCAACUGUAUGUUUCCACUGCGGAAAUUACAAAAUUUAAUGGACCAUUAUAGAACCGAGUGUAAUGGUCAACUGUUUGUUUUCGCUUCAGAAAUUGCAAAAUUUAGCAAGAUAAAGUGUAACGGUCAGCUGUCUGCUUCCGUUGCGGAAUCCGUCCCACAUCGGAAGAUUAUAGAAAAUUGAAAUAGUACAUAAUAAGUAAUACGAAACUACUAAAUAAUUUUAGUUAACUAUUUUAGACGUAGUAUAAAGUCGGACCGGACUAUUUUUUCUUAACAAGGAAAAUUAUUAAUUAUUUAUACACGUGUACAGGAAUGGCUAAUGUAGUAUCGGUGUUCCCUAAUAAAAAGAGAACACUUGAUACAACAAGGUCUUGGGAUUUCAUAGGCUUUUCUCAGCAAGUUAAAAGAUCAACUCUCGAAAGUGAUAUUGUAAUCGGCGUGCUUGACACUGGAAUUUGGCCGGAGUCUGAAGCUUUCAACGACCAAGGUUUUGUUUCACCACCAAGCAAAUGGAAGGGCAGUUGCCCACCAGAUUUCAGAUGCAACAAGUAAACUUCAACAACCAUAUUGUUAGCUAGAUUUCUAGCCUUAGAUUUCUGUAGCCUUCACUGAUAAAUUUUAAAACGCGAUGCAGUAAACUCAUCGGAGCUAAAUACUAUCGUAACAAUGAAACAUAUGACCCAAGGGAUGAUCGAUCUCCGAGAGACACAGCUGGCCAUGGGACACAUACAGCGUCAACAGCAGCUGGGAGCUUGGUUAGCAUGGCAAGCUUAUAUGGACUCGGCGAGGGAACUGCACGAGGAGCAGUGCCAUUAGCUCGAGUUGCUGUGUACAAAAUAUGUUGGUCUGAUGGUUGUUAUGAUGCUGAUAUUCUUGAAGCAUUUGGUGACGCUAUUGAAGAUGGAGUUGACAUAAUUUCUCUCUCAGUUGGAGGAGAUGAUAUUGAAGAUUAUUUUGAGGAUACAGCAGCUAUUGGAGCUUUUCAUGCAAUGAAAAAGGGGAUAUUUACGUCAACUUCAGCAGGUAAUAGUGGUCCUGGUGCUGGAUCCAUCAGAAAACUUUCGCCAUGGUUUCUUUCAGUAGCUGCUAGUACCAUUGAUCGGAGGUUCAUUGCUAAUGUGCAGCUGGGAAAUAACGAGACUUACGAGGUAUAUACUACAUACUGUAUGGUUCAAAUUUUAUAUACCAAUAAUAUUUAUUUAAAUCGGAUCCAUAGUAUUAAUAUAUAAUAAUAUUUUUUAAAAUAUAUAUAUUUUUUUAUAGGGUAUUUCAAUAAAUACUUUUGACCUCAACCAAACCAUGUAUCCUCUGAUUUAUGGGGGAGAUGCACCAAACCUGGCUCAAAAUUAUACGGCUGAGAAAUCCAGGUACCUGUUAUUGUUUUUUCGGCAAGUCUUAAAUUUGGACAUGCCAAGCAUAUUAAAUAUUAUUUUAUUUUAUUUUAUUUCAUUUUUCCGACGUGGGAUAAGUUACCUAGUUCACUUUAGUUAAUAAUAAUUAACCACAUUACUACAUUUUUAAAUUUAGGCAAUAAUACGAUGUUAAAUUAUUGAUUUAAUAUCACUGAAUAAUUAAUAAUUUAUAGUAGUUCAAGAUUAAAGUUCCCAAAAUUUGCAAAAAUAUGAGCAAGAUAGAGGAUACUUGGUAAUUAAUUGGAAAAACUCAAUGGACAUUUAUUGCUUAACAGGUUUUGCAAAGAAAAUUCACUGGACGAGAAUUUAGUGAAGGGUAAAAUUGUUCUCUGCGAUGCCCGGAGCACUGGAAAAACAGCAUUUUUUGCUAGAGCAGCUGGUGUGGUGAUGAAAGGUCGACGACCCAGAAAUCGUGCUUUCUCUUAUCCAUUGCCUGCAUCUCACCUUGAAGAUGAGGAUAACAAUAUAUUUUCCUACAUAAGAUCAACGAGGUACGAUGUCGAUCAUGGAACAGCUAAUCAUUGCAUUUAAAUUACGCUAACAUCCUAAUGAAUUGUUCAUAAAAAUUGCAGUAAUGCAACUGCAACUAUAUAUAAGAGUACUGAGGGAAAUAACACGUUAGCACCUUUUGUUCCCGACUUUUCAUCAAGGGGUCCCAAUCCAAUCACGCCUGACAUUCUCAAGGUAAUGAUCAAAUUGGCUUUGUCCUUCUUUCUCUCUAAUAAUCCAUUGAUGGACUCGUUAAAGGCUUUUAAUGUUACUGCAUGCAGCCAGAUAUAGCUGCUCCAGGAGUUGAGAUUCUAGCUGCAUGGUCUCAUGUUUCUUCGGUGACUGGAAUCCCAGGUGAUGUUAGAUUAGUACCCUACAAUAUCAUCUCAGGGACAUCAAUGGCUUGCCCUCAUGCAACUGGGGUAGCUGCCUAUGUUAAAUCACAUCACCCCACUUGGUCUCCUUCUGCUAUUAAGUCUGCUCUCAUGACUACUGGUAAUUCUCGUUUUCAUAUAAAUGGCUUUAUGUUCUCAGAAAUCAAACAUAACCAAGUUGAUCUUCCUUGCUUGCAGCUUCACCGAUGAGUUCUUGGACUAACUCUGAUGCAGAAUUUGCUUACGGCGCAGGCCAUAUUAAUCCUGUCGAGGCCAAUGAUCCUGGUCUAGUAUACGAUGCUGAGCCAAUUGACUACGUAAAAUUUCUGUGUGGACAAGGAUAUGAUUCGAAUCGUCUACAGAUUGUUACAGGGGACAAUAGCAGUUCUUGUUCUGAGACUGUUAAUGCAACAGUGUGGGAUCUCAACUAUCCUUCCUUUGCACUUUCUGUUUCGAAUUCAGAAUUUGUUAGUCGAGUUUUCAACAGGGUUGUCACGAACGUUGGAUUGCCGACGUCUACGUAUAAAGCUACGGUGACUGCUCCUCCAGGGCUGAAAAUCCAAGUAAACCCUAGCAUGCUGGCGUUUACUUCUGUUGGUGAGAAGCUAUCUUUUGCGGUUACCAUUGAAGGAUCAAUGAAUAGUCGUAUAGCUUCAGCUUCUUUGGUGUGGGACGAUGGAGUGUACCAAGUGAGGAGCCCAAUCAUUGUGCAUAUUUUAUCAUGAAGUUUUAAGAUUCUUGUAUGAGUGGAAAUGAAAACUCUACCUUGUAGGCAAAAAUUUUAGUAUCUUUUUUUUCCUAUUUUUGAUUUUCAAGCAAGUCCUUUGUACUUUUUCGCUUAGUUGAAAUGAUAAAUCUUUAUAAAGUAAUUUCAGCCAACAUGGUCUCCAUUGAGUUUUUGUGUGCACAAGGCUAUAGUACUAAACAACUGCAAGUUGUUACUGAGGACAAUAACAGUUGUUCUGAAGUACCAAAAACAACGUUGUCCGAUCUAAAUUGCCCUUCUUUCACCUUCUGCACCGUCUGGGCAAAUCUGUAGGCCGUGUCUUUCAUAGAGUUGUCACAAAUGUUGGAUCACCAGAGUCCACUUACAAGGCCGUUGUGAAAACUUCGAAAGCAGAAGACCAAUGUGACACCUAAUGUUCUUUCUUUCAAGAAGCUUGGGGAGCAGAAAACUUUUCAUGUAACUUUGACAGCAAAACUGGGCAGUGCUUCAAUUUCUGGGUCUUUGAUUUGGGUUGACGGAGAACAUCGGGUGAGGAGCCCUGUUAUUGCCUAUGUUUCUUCUUAAUGAUGAUUCUCCUGCCAUAGUUGAAGCAAGACCACUGGCAGAAGUUUUUUCUUUUUAAUUUUCCCCCUUGAGAAGUCAUGUCAAUUUAAUUUUAAUUUGCAGUUCAAAACAUUUUGGAGAAUUCCCGAGAAAAUCUACAGUUCCAACGUAAACAUAAAAAGAAUGGAGAUGCAGGGGAUCGAACCCUGUACCUCUCGCAUGCAAAGCGAGCGCUCUACCAUUUGAGCUACAUCCCCCAGGCAGAAGUUUUUUCUUUCAUUCUUUAAUUUGCUGCGCCAAACAUUUUGGAGAUUUCCCGAGAAAAUCUACCGUUCCAACGUAAAAAUGGAGAUGCAGGGGAUCGAACCCUGUGCCUCUCGCAUGCAAAGCGAGCGCUCUACCAUUUGAGCUACAUCCCCUUGACUGUUUAUUCUUAUAAAAUAAAUAAUAAUUAAUAUUAUAAAUAGAGGCAAUUUAUGGGAUGAAUCUUGUAAAAAUCAAACUUAAAUUACCUUGCAUAGAAAUUUCAGUGAUUAGUUUACUAUUAUAAGUUAAUUUAUUGAAUUAAUUAAUGGCAAGGAUAAUUGAGAAAAAUUUUAUAUGCUUAUUUGUUUCUGAUGAAGAACUUAAUUGUAACUAAUUACCCAUCUUCAGGAAAUUUCCAUAUUCAUUCCAAAUAGGAAAAACAAGGAAAGAGAGUCCUAUAUUUUACUGAAAGUAAGCCAUGUGUUCAACAAUUAGAAGCUGCCAAGCAAUUUGUCUUAAUUACUUGUAUAUUUCCACCCAAGAGAAGGAGUAUGUGAAUUUUGAAUUAAAGAUGUUUUUACUCUUAAUUAUUCAGCUUCUAUGUGAAAUUUGAAAUGCUCUUGAUUUCUAAGUCUCACAACUACCUCACCUUGAAUGUCAAUUUUGAUUCAAAGAAAUUCGUGUAAUACCCCGUGUAUAGAUGAAAAUUAAGAUAUUUAUUGGUAAUCGAUUCAAUUAAAUCUUAUUACGUGUCUGAAUUUAAAUAAUACAUAAAAUAAAAAGUAAAGUAAAUUUAUUUAUUUUAUUAAAAUUAACUAUUCAUCUAUAAUUAUAAAAUCGCUUAGUUAAAAUAAUCAUUUUUCUAUUAAAUAACAUAUUAGCUAAUAUGUUAUUGAGGAGAAGAAAUCUUUUGCUGUUACCUUACCAAAAAUAGCAUGAAAAAAUAGAAUGGAGAUGCAGGGGAUCGAACCCUGUACCUCUCGCAUGCAAAGCGAGCGCUCUACCAUUUGAGCUACAUCCCCUUUUACUGUAAAAUCAGAGUAUUUUAUUGUUUUUAUUGUAUAAAAUAAAUUACUUCCCUUACCUCAGUUAAGUCAUUUCUUAAAAAAUUUAUUUUUCAUAAAAUAAUCCAUUUGAAUCAAACAACAGUUAGAAUUAAUUAUAAAACUAUUAAUUAUGAGAAUAAUUGAGAAAGAUUUUCUAUGAUGCUUCUGAUGACCAACUUCUAACAAAAUACCCAGAUGGUAGGAAAUUUCUAUAUUAAUUCCAACAGGAAAACAAGCAAAGAAAGAGCUACUCUCAACUGAACAAGCUCUUUAUUUAACAAUUAAAAAUAUAUAUUUAUAUAUGAACGAUGUCGUAUCAAUCGUCAUCCUUACCAAAUAAUUAUUUUGUUAAGUUAAUUUUCUUCAAACAUUGGCUAUUGCGAUCAUAAUCACGACUUUUGCUUAAUUCCCACUUCCCAGCCCCUGUAACAAGUUCAAAUAAAUUAUCACGCCAUGGCCGACGGUGUGAUAUAUGUGCUUCAAUUUUAAAACAGUGAAAUUAUUCUCAGUUAUCAAUUUUAAUUAAUUAAUUUGCUGCUCAAUUAAUCCUAAUUUAGGGUUUCCCCCGUCAAACAAGUUCUCUUCUUUUUGACUAAGCAAGAUUUUGAUGCUUUGUUUCUUGAAUUUCUUCUCUUACCAUAAUGCAUCCAUAUGGCUCACAAUUUCCAGUCAAGAUAGGGAAAUCAUGGGAUUAUAAAUAUAUAUAUUCAUUUUUUUUAUGGUGCUAAAUUACUUUUCAUGGAGAAUUAAAUUUAUAAUUUUUAAAAAUAAAAAAUAUAUUUUGAUAUAAAUUAUAGACAAAAAAAUAAUUUAUUAUUAGUUUAUUAAUUAAUGUAUGUUAUUUCAUAUACAUUCCUUUAAUUCCAAAAUGAGUUAGUAACAUAAUUUACAUUUAGCUUUUUAAUAAAGCAAUAUGAUUGAAGCUGCAUAUAUUAGAAAAUUAAUAAAUAAAUUUUUUUAACAACUUAAUUUAUAUAAAAAUUAUUUUUUGAAAUUAAUGAAACAAAAUAAUAUAUAAUAUCUUUCAUUAUUUUCAUUUUUCAAAACAAUGAAAAUAAUAUAUGAAUAGUCUUGUCAUAAUAAAGGCUAAUUUAGAAAAAAAAAAAGAGAGAGAAAAUAUUAAUUUAACUAAUUAUUAAAAGCUUCAAAUAAUAAUAAUAAUAAAAACAAACACUAGCUGGCAAAUAGAAAAUUCAAAACACAAUAGAAAAGAUGAAAGAAUAUUUCCAAUAGAUAAUUAAUGUUGGAAAAUAGUAAUCCAAUCAAACAAACUGGAAAGAAGCUUCUAUAUACUAAUUACCAUGCAAAUUCAAAAUUCACAUCAACACAAAUAUUUCCCUUUGUUCACAUUUAUUAAGAAUAAUUUCUCAAUAAACAACAAAAAAGCCCAUAUAUUCUACAAUCAAUUUUAAAUAUUGACCAUAAAAUGGAUAAAUCGUGGUUCAAAACUUAAAAUCUCAUAAUUUUAAAUAUAUUAAUUAAAAUAAAUUAAUAUAAUUCAAUUUUCUCAAGAUAUCAAUGAAAAUACUAUAUUAUCAUUUAUUACUAAAUUAAAUGGUUAUUUCGAAUUAAUUGAUUUUGUAGAAUAUGAUAAUUAAAUUCAACUAAAUAUAUAUGAAAAUUGAAUUAAAUUCAACCGUAUUGAUUCAAUUCGAUUUGAAAUUUAUUUUAAACUUUUUGUGAGAUCUCGAGAGGUGACUCAAGCGAGUGGCCGGCUAUGGGAUAACCCAACAGGAGAGAGGAGGAUUUCUGCAAUUCUACUCACUGAGAGAUCAAGAGCGAGAGGGAUAAAGAUGCGAUGACGAAGAGACGAGAUGCGAUGGGUCAACAAUGAGACCAAAUGCAAAAGAGAAAGAUGUGAUUUAGAAGGGUCAUGUAAACCUUUCUAUCUGAUCGGACUGAAUAAUAGGAAGACCGAUCUAUUGAAUAUGAAAAAUCAAACCACCAAUACUCUUAAGUUUAUCAAAAUUCAGAACUGACUGACCUCUUUAAAACCUAUAGAGGACUGAGCAGACCUCUUCAAAAUUCAUACUAUAACGAGACUUUGAAUGCAGACAUGGUCGACCUCAAUGACCUGAAGAAACUCACCUCUAUGUAGGUCGGAUGAACCGAACAUGACAUGAUAAAAUCAGGGUAAGGAUGUCGACCUCUUACCUAGUCGUCUCUUUGAUACAGCACUAGGAUCAUGAAUAUGUGUGCAGUGAUACGAACUAGUUAGCUUCACAUUUAUUAUCAUGUAUCCUAUCAUUAAUAUAUCGCCUGACACAUCUGCACAAAAUCAUCUAUGCCCAAUCCGAUGGGACACGGCAGCGAUCAUAAGUAUAUAUAUUACUAAACUAACCAAAAGAGGGGACUUUCUCUCUGUGUGGGAAAAAUCCUAGAACCUAUCCUUUCUCUUGGGGCAACUUUCUCUUCUCUUUUCCUCUCUGUUUUAUUUCCCUUGACUCCACUAAAAGGCCUCCGAUCUGACUUGAGCGUCGUAGGGUCUUUACCGUAACAUUCUCAAUGGAUCUCUAACCCCUUUUUCAUAUUUUACAAGUACUUCUCUCAAUAUUGGUCAUGGAGGAACCCAUAUGAAAUCUCCAAAGCAUCCACCCCUCAUCAGUCCAGUCACACGUCAAUGAUCGAUCCAUCAAAUUAAAUCUCUGUCUAAGUGUCCACAUCUGAAUAUUCCGUCGAAUCUCCUAUCAUUACAUUUUAUUUCAUUUGAAUUAAAAAAACUUGAUAAAUGGAAAUAUUUUUUUUUAAACUGGGAAUUGAGGAUUGGGAGAGUAGAAUAUGAAAUCUUUCAGAUUUACUCAGAUGCACCUACCACUGGCUAAACCCGUGAAUGCAUACAUGGGAAGAUUUGUCACCUUAUAGAGAAAUUAUUAAACAAAUACAUGAAAUAAAAAGCCAAUGAAAAUUUAAUACAUAAAUAUAUUCAGUUGCUAAAAUUAAAAAUUGUUUGGUAAUCUUUUUUGUCUUGGGCUCACUUUUAUAUUAGUAGGUUACACCAUCAUUACAACACUAACCGUUUCAUUGAUUUACCAUUGCAGGUAGAAUAGUUUAUAUGGAAUCAUGGUUAUAUUAUAUAAUUUUUUCAGUAAAAGAAUUAAAUUUAUUCAUAAAUCAUGCAACGAAAAGCUAAAAAUAUUAAAUUUCAAUUUUCGAUUUAAAUUUAAUAAAUUCAAAUAAAAUUAAAUAAAUCGAAAAAAAUAUAGUUAUUAUUCUUUAGUCUCGAUAAUUGGUAGUUUUAUUAGACCUUUUAACAAUAGCUCUAGAGUUAAUUUAGAUAAAUAAAAUAAAAUUUAAUAUCUUUUAUUCUGCCACAUGUAUAAUUGAAUAUCAAAUUUAACAUUUUAACUUAAUUCUUCCAAUCCAUUUCAAAAAAAAAAAAAAAAAAACUUAAUUCUUCCAACUUAUGGCCCACCCCAAAUGACUAAAUUGGGCAAAGGUGUAAACGCGUUUGCCUUCAUCAUUACUCUGCCCUCUUCUUCUGUUCUCUCUUGUAUAUAUCUCGCAAUCUAAUGGUAACUCUCUCAUGCACCUGUUUGAUCAUUUGCCUAAGAGAAUUACUAAAGAGAUUUCCAUUCUUUCAAAUACAAAGAUUCUGAUAUAGAAAUUAAAAUGGCUCUGCCCAAACGCCUUACAGCUUCGGUUUUGCUAGUAAUGAUCGUCGUCAUCUCUCAUGAUCAGUACCCUCCAGGAGGUGCUGAAGCUGAAGCCACACCAUUAUCAUCGCUCAAACGAGGUGAUUGAUUAAGUUUAAAGUUUUUUUUUUAUUUUUUGAGUUGGAUUCUUGACAUACAUGGGUUUAAAUCCAUGAGAUUAAUUAAGUGAUAAUUAUUUAUAAAAUGUUGCAGUGAAAACGAAGAAGUUCUUUGCGAGUCUAGGGUUAGAGUGCAAGUGCUGUGAUGGUGCUAAAGGUGAAUGCAGAAGCUCAUGGAAUUCAUCAUGCUCGAAGCUCCAGUGCCUUCCAUGGAAAUCCUACUGAUUUUUAUCAGUGUUUCUUGCAAAAUCUCAGGCCUUUAACGUAGGAUUUCCCAAGUCUUCUGACAGAAACAUGUCCUUUUUCUUUUAGGUGAAAAGUCUUAAUAUUAAUGCUUUUUUUUUUCUUUCCUUUGCUAGAAAUAAAGGGUUGGAUCCUACUGUAUGGAGUAAAUACUCGCUAUAAAUAUUUUAUUUAACUUAUUCUGUGCGAAUAAAAUUUAGUAUCAGUCUAAUUGAUUUAGAAAUACUGUAAUUGUAACGAAGAAAAAAAAAAGUUAAAUUUUAUUAAAUUGCAACGAAACAAUAAGCUGUCUAUGGCCAUUGGCAAUAAUCUUGCCUAAGUUUAAUUUUGCCUAAACUAUAAGAUCUCUCAUUUUGAUUUGAUCGGCUUGAUUAAAGGAAUUUGCCCUACAUGAUUUUAUUUAUCUAUAAAUUUAAAAUAACUCAAAUUGAAUGAUAAGUAAAAUUAAGAGUCAAGCUUGAAAAUAUAAUUUGAAAAUAUUGAAUAAUUUAAUUUGACUCAAAAAUUAAAUUAAAAAUCACAUUUUAAUAUUCUGAGUCCAAAAAUUAAUUAACUUUAAUUUUUUUUUACGUAUAACUAUUUAAUAAAUAUGAUUAUAACUUAAAUUAGGUCUAUUGUAUGAUUAUUUAGUUUAUACAAAGUAAUUAAAAUUUAUUUUAUUAUAAAAAUAUAAUAAUUUUAUAAUUCAUCUCAUUAGAUUUUUAUAGAAUGUUGUUAUCUUCUGUAAAUUAGUUAAUUACAAAAAAAAUAUUAAUUUAAUAAAAAAGCAAAUUUUUUCAUAUAUAAAAAUAUAUACAUUAUUUUUUAUUAAUAUUAUAAAUAUAUAAAUUUUACCGAAUAAGUUAUAAUCAUUUAAUAUUUUAUGUAAUUUGUGAUUUUAAUUUAAAAUUAUUUUAUGAAAAAUUAAAAUAUUGUAAAAAAAAUACAAAAGAUAAAUUAUAGAAUAUUUAUUAACUUUAUAUUUGAUAUGAUUGAUUUUGUAAGAACAAAAUUUAAAAGAAUUUUUAUAAAAUUAUAUAUAUAAUUUAUAAAAUUCUUUUGUCCCAUGUGAAUAUAGAAAAAUAGAAGUCCACAGUAAGAAGCUCAAUAGUUCACCAACUUAUAUUCAUCAAUCUAGAAGUACAGAGACCUAUUUAGAAAAAGAAGCCAUUGCAAAACAGGUGAUUGUCGAUAAGAGAGAAAUUUUGAAAAAGCACAAUUUCGAUACUAUUCACCGUACAGGUAAAGAAAGAAAAACACUUAAUAAAAGUAUAGAAACAAUAAAAAUAAAAAUCGCAAAUCUGAAAAGCCACCGAUGCAGAUUUUAAGAACUAUCGCCCGAAUAGUUACCGAAUAAAAUGGGCAAGUUCCUCCACCCAAAGCAGAGGAGCCAACUGCUAGAGUCCUGCACCGAUCAAACGCUGAAGUUUUCUCUAACUCUCUCUGCUGCCCUUUUCGAGAGUAAUAACAGUACGUUUUCAAAUCACGACUUCAACCAAUUUCUAGAAAUAAUAAUAUAUUUCAGUAACUGGAAUUCCCAUUAUAUUUAUAUACAGAGAGAAAAUUUAUAAUUUACUCUUUAAAUAUUGUCAUUAUUAACAAGUCAGUCCCUCUAUUUUUAGAAACCUAUUAAAACAUCUUUAUAUUUUCUUUCCAUCAACGAAAUAGUCUUUCCGUCCUCUUUUCCAUUAAAAUUAGAUAAAGUAGGAGGGAGAAAAUUUUUAAAUUUAAUUUUACCCUCAAAUAAAAUCAUUUAUUUAGUCCUUGGAUAUUGUUAUUAUUAACAAGUUAGUCCUUAUAUUUUCAAAAAUCUAUUAAAACAUUUUUAUCUUUUUCCAUAUAUAUUAAAACGUCCUUAUCAUUUUUUUUCGUCAAUAAAAUAGUCCUUAUCUUUUCUCAUAUUUAUUAAAACGUUCUUAUCAUUUCUUUUCAUCAACGAAAUAGUUCUUUCUCAUCGUUUCUUUCCAUCAACGAAAUCGUCCCUUCCUAUAUUUUUAAAAAUUUAUUAAAAUAUCCUUAUUGUUUCUAUUUGUCAACAAAAUAGUCCCUAUCUUUUCUCACAUCUAUUAAAAUGUCCUUAUCGUUUCUUUUUGUCAACGAAAUCAUCCUUAUCUUUUCUUUCCUCCUCCUCCUCCUCCAAAAAAGGAGAAAAAGAAGAAGAAGAGGAAGAAGAAGAAGAGGAAGAAGAAAAAAAGAAGAAAAAGAAGAAAAAGAAUGAGAAGAAGAAGAAGAGAAAGAAGAAAAAGAAGAAAAAAAAAGAAGAAAAAGAAGAAGAAGAAGAAGGAGAAAAAGGAGAAGAAGGAGAAGAGAAAGAAGAAAAAGAAGAAAAAGAAACAAAAGAAGCAAAAGAAGAAGAAGAAGAAGGAGGAGGAGAAGAAGGAGAGGAAGAAGAAGAAGAAGAAAAAGAAGAAGAAGCAGAAGGAGAAGCAGAAGCAGAAGAAGAAGCAGAAGAAGGAGGAAGAAUUGAUGAAGAAGAAAAGGAAGGAGGAGGAGGAGGAAGAGAAGGAGGUGGAGGAAAAUAAUGGGGAUAAUUUAGUCUUUUACUAUAUUUUUAACUGCAAAAAUAGACAGAAUGACUAUUUUGUUGACGGAAAGAAAAGAUAAAGACGUUUUAACAUGUUUCUAUAAAUACAUGAACUAACUUGUUAAUAAUGACAAUAUUCAGAGACUAAAUUGUAAAUCUCCUUUAUAUAUAUUUAUGUCAUUUUGACUUUUUUAUUUUCCAUGCAUUAAAUUUCCAGCCAACUUUUCACAUUUCCUUUUUUUUUAUUUCUUUUUCUUUUGUUUUUUUUAUUUCUAUUCUCAAUAGAAUAUAUUCCUCGGUCCUCACCCAUUUUGUUCCAUUUGCAUUAAAUUUCUUAUUUCUUGACCUCAGAAGUUCCAGAAUUUUUCUACAUUUAACAAGUAUUAUAUAUUAUUAUUAUUGAUAUUUUAAAAUCUAGAGAAUAAAAUUUUAUAAUAUGUGUAAGUUUAGACGGAGAAAAAAGUAUUCCUUUUCUUUUUUUUUUGUCUGCUAGUGAUUUCUAACGGUCUCUCUGUUAUAGUGCCACAUGUUUCUGUCACGCAGAUCCAUAUGUACGGAAGUGUCAGACUCCUUCUUCACACCAAGCGGUCAUUUAAUCCGUAGGACUGCAAAGUAAUUGGACCUGCUAUCCUUCAUCACAUCACAUCACCAACCUGAAUAUCUUCUUAUCGAAUCUGAAUUCACGGACGAUCCGGUCUGUUCCGUGCGCUUAAGUCAAGACUUAAGAUAAUGGACAUGUUAACUAAAGAAAGUCCCAUGGGUUUACUUUCUUGGACUCGCACUUGUUCAGGAGUGAUGAGAUCCGACGGUAAUCGAUUAUUAUAUAAAAAAUUAAUAUGUAUAUUAUUUUUUAAUAAGUUGAAAAAUUUAUAUAAAAUUAUAUACAUUUAAAUUAUGAAUCUAUAUAUUUAGAUUAUCUUUAUCCUCUUUCUUUAAAAUUUUAUAGCUGCAACUUGAACUCAAUAUCCCAUUCAGCAACAGUUAAAGAUAAACAAUUGAUCACGGAUCACAAAUCCAAAAACAUUGCUAAGUACAUGGAACAUGAUAAAGCUUAAAGAAAGCCAUGCAGACACACGUGAAAACAUACUCCCUGUUUCUUUGAUAAAACAUAUAUUCCGCCAUUGAUUCUUGCAAGGUUUGUAGAACAAGUACCGCCUUCAUUGCAUGGUAUAGAUAUGAAGGUAUCUUCUUCGAUUUCAGCAAAUGAACGAAGAGAGAAAGCAAAAAAGAAAAAGAAUUAGAUGAAGGGUCAACCAACCAUUUCUUGCAAAAGAUGGCAAAAUAUUAUUAUAUCCCACGAGCUAGCCCAAGUUGAUGUGCAACGACCUUAUCCGAUAAUAUUAUCUUCAUGCAUGAAACUAACAGCAAAACAGAGUCAAAGAUAUGGGCAUGGACGACACGUGGCAACAAGGGGUUGGAGAUGACAGGAUUUUCCACUUGGAGUUUAGAUGAAGAACCCAUAUGUCCAAGGAUAAUUGAAGAAAGGCACAUGGAUUAAAAUAUUAUGAGACUCAUAUAAAGUUUUAAUUUUUUUAUUGGUAGUACUUUCGGAUGCGGGGAAGAAUUUUGCUUGGGCACAAGAAUCCAAAGAGACCGUCGAUUUCUUGCAUGGGGCUUAUAAAUUGCAGAGAUGGUUUGCUCUAAGCUAUCUCCACAUCUGCUAUCUUCACGUGCUCUCUGUUUGCUCCUAUUUUUUUCUUCUUUUUUUCACCUUCUGCAAAUCUUAUCCAUCCAUUACUGCUGCCUGUCUUUUUUUGGGUCGUUAUAGCUGCUUAAAUAGAUAGAUAUAGUUUUGUUCGUUGGCUGACAGAGAAAAGUUUAAGGUUUUUUUUCAGAAACAGUAGUAUUAUUGUCUUGAUUUAUUAUCUGUAGCAUGGAAAACAAGAGGCAGCAGAGUGGUGCUUCUUCUUUUGAUCAUAUUUUUGGCCCUAGGGGUUCUUCUUCAUCUUCAUCAAGUCUUUUUGGGUCUAUUUUCUCUUCUUCUUCCACGGUAUUGCGCUUUUCUCCUCUUCUUUCAGAUUAUUCUCUGGAUCCAUUUGUGUUUUGUGCUUGUGGGUGUUCUUAUUUAUUUUAUUUUAGCUCAUUAAUCACCAUUGAUAAAGAUGAUAGCUUCAUGUCAUAAUACAACACAUGGUGGAAUAAUAACUAUAUUGCAAUUUUUUUUCAAUAUUUAGAUAAAAAAGAAUUGAACUUGAUAAAUUUUGCUUUUUCUUUUGAUUUUUAUGGUUCAAAUUUUAGGGGCUGGGAAGAGACUCUUCAGGAAUUAUGGGAAAUCAAGGUGGGAAUAGCAAAUAUGGGAAUAAUCCAGGUAUGUGUUUGUUCAUGUUUAGAUUCUUUUUAAGUUUAUUACCAAUCAAGCUGUCUGUGAACAAAGUGUCAUCAACAGUGAUUAGGUGGCCAAUUUUCAGAUAGAGUCGAUUAUAAAAAAAAAAAAUAAUAAUUGGGUUUUUUUUCUCAGAUAAUUCCAGUCAAAGCAAUAAGGGAGGUAGCAUUGGCAAAGAUACGAGUUGUGUUUAUGAAAAUGAAACACCAGAACCCUGUUAUUUCAGCUCGUCUAUCUACUAUGGUGGCCAAGAAAAUUAUUCUCCAAGGACUAAGAACUCUGAAUCUCACCAUAUUGUGAGUGUAAAACUACGAACCAAAUUAUUAUAUUGCAUAAGAAUCUACGAGGAACUGAUUUUCUUUCCUUUUCUUUUUAAUGAACAGUUGAAGAAAGAUGACAAAACUGAUGAUCCCAACGGCAACAAUUCAAACAGUGCUUCAAGAGGGAAUUGGUGGCAGGGUAUAUUAACAAUAUACUUCUUAAUUAAUUAUUUUUUUAAUUAAUGAAAAUUAUGAUAAUCUGAUCAAUUUGGAACAAAUGGUUUUCUGCAGGUUCACUCUACUAUUAACUCUAGACCCACAUGUGUAAAAUUCAGCAUCUAUAAGCUAAGGUUAGCUAGUCUUUUCGUCAAUUAUUUAGCUCAUACAAUCUCAUCCUUCUAUUUUAAUUUAAUUAAAUUCAAACGGCAUAAAUUAAUUAAACUUUUAUAAAAAAUUAUAUCUAAAACAACGAUAAUAAAUUAUUAUCUCAUAUACUUAAACUGUAAUUAUAAGUUUAUAAUAAUGGUUGAGGAAUAAGAUAGUAAUUUACUUUUUUUAUAAUAAAAAAAUAUAAUUAAAAUUAUAAUUCAUUAAUAUAAAAUAAAUUAUUUAUUAUAAUAUAUUAUAUUAUAUAGUUAAAUUUACAGUAAUUUUAAAUUAUUUUUUUUUUUAAAUAAAAAUUAAAAAUUAAGAGAGUAGAACCUCAAAUCUCUCGUAUGCAUUUACCACCGAAAUAAAGCUGUAAGUGUAAAUUAUUAUCAAACUAUUACCUUAAUAAUAUUGAGGUGAUAAUUUUAUAAUGGUUAAUAAACUUUAAAAAUGUAGCAUGGUGGUUGAUUUUUUUUUUUUUUUUCCUUUGACCCAUCAUUCAGUUUACUAAAAUAUUCUGUCUGUUUGUUUGAUAUGACACAGGAAUGAUGGCUAUGAUCAAACUUCAUACUAAGAAAAUAAGAUGAUAAUUAUAUGUUGAGUACUUUUGUUGGGGCAUCAUAUGUUUGUGAUGUUGGGUUCUUCUUUACCCUACUUGUGUUUUUACACAAGAUCUGAUAUUUUGUUCUGGGAGGCUGAUGCCUUGCUUCUUGUAUACUAUGUUUCUUUUGCUCUUUUGCAUAGUUAACCUUAUCAUCCAUGUACUCAACCAUGAUUUCCUAUUGAAAAACUUGCUUUCUAGUUCGAACAGUAUAACGAAAGUAAUUAAUUAGUCUAUAUAUUUUUAAAAAUAGAUAAAAUAGUCUCAUAAUUAAUUUCAUAGCCAGAGAUCAUAUAGAGCAUAAAUAACUGGCAAACAGAAAAGCAAAAUGGAAAUUAAACAUUAAAAGUUUAUUUAUUAUCAGAUUCCUGGAUGUCACUGUCAUUUGUUAGCUAGAAGGGAACUAGCUGCAAAGCUGCAGACUCCGGAACAUUCGUAGAAGCAAGUAUAUUACAGAGCACCAUGACUGAUAUUGCUCUUCAAGGCAAUGUGUAAGCUGCAAGAUACAAGCCAAUUUAAAUGGUUAUUAUUGAAGAAGCUGUAGCUCAAAUUGGGAUUUGAAUAUGAAAAAUGGGAAGAAAAGGUAAAUGAAUUGAAAAAUGGUGAACAUGCAAACGAACCUCCACACUUGUAACCCACAGGACGAUCAGCUAAGUUGCACCUUUUGGGAAUGGUGACUGCAAUUUCUGCCUUGACUCCCGAACUCUUUGCUGUGUUAGAAAGCAUAACAGCGCAAAGGCAGGCUGGGUUCUGGCCAAUUUUCUUUACCUGAGCACAGCACUGGGAAGAAACUGGAGCAUUUUCAUCUUGCGCUGCUGAUGCACAGGGUGCCAGCUUGAAAGCUUCUCUGUCAGGAGUUGUGGAUUUCCCACAUUCUCCAGCUCCAUCAACUCGAUUAAUCUCUGCAAAUCCAAGAAUGACAAGAACGAUCACCAAGCAAAGAGAUUUCAAGAGAGCUGCCAUUUCUAAUUUCAAAUUCAAUUCAAAGCACAAAUAAUUCUCAAUCUCAUAGGAUUUUAUAGUGAAACUAGCAAAUGAAAGAUGCUUACACGUGAAUUCCAUUAGCCAUAGUGGAGACAGCACUAGAAGCAUUGUAGAAUUAUUUAUUGCAGCACCUACCCCUUCCAUAAACAAAGCCAAAACUUAAAUGGCCAUUUCAAGCCUAUGAGGCUAGUGCUAACUAUAGGCAUUGCAACCACCCCAUUUCCUUUUUAUCCCUGAGGGAGCAAAGAAGAGAUCUUCAUAAGAAGUUGACAACAAGGAAUCCACUACAUAUGAUCUGCCUAGAGCACCACAAUUUUCUCCAAGACAUGAAAGCCUCAGUUCACUCACCAUCCCCUUGUCACGCUGCAUUGAGCCCACAGAAUUAUCAAAUAUACAGCCAUCUGCACCUACACUGGCUUCAUAGUUCAUGAUACCCACUCCUGGUUGAGGAAAAAUUCAAGCACCAAAGAUGCACAAGGAAUUAACGCGAAAGGGAGCAGCUCAAUGGCUAGUCUUCCCCAUUCUCAUCUACUUUACAAGAGCUCAGGGCCAUUCAAACUAAUAACCAUUGGAAUCAAAUAUGAACGAGCUGGUGUGAAGAAAUUAUUAGUGACAUAACUUAUCACAGCAGUAACUGUUAGUUUAGCUUAGACAGCAAAGUGGUGCCAAAAUUUGUCACUGAAUUAGUUAGUUCUGGUAGUUCAGUAGAUAGCUGGAAAAGUUCUAAAACAUCCUAAUGGAUAUAUAAACACAGAUGUGCUGUUAUUUUGAGCAUAAAUGAGUGGGUAUUUUAAUCUUGCUAUUUUUGUGCCUCUACUAUUUGUUCUCUGUUCAUAGUGAGCACCCAUAGAAUCUAAAGAGUCGAUUCACGUUGUAGUUUUGUUUUUCUUUUAUUCUCGUCAAGUGUGUGUUUGCAUGUGUCAACUAAAAUUAAACAAACAGAGCAGAAAAAUUCAAAAAAGACAGCAUGGAAAACAUGACGAGCAAAAAGUAAAAGUUUUGCAUAGCUAGGUAAUGAUUUGAAAAUGCAGCUAAUUAGUAGAGGAUAGCCUUUUACAUAAAUUGGUAGAAAUAAGCUUCACAACAUAUGCAUUUUCAGAACUUGGAGUUCCCUGGAAAAGAUCUUGGAGGUCCCAUAGUCCUCUCCUUGUCCAUUUUCAGAGACAGUUCAGAAGAAACAGUAUCACACAGUUCCAAUCAAUACACAGAAAAAUUCAUCUCAUCUCAAACCUGCAAUUUUGCAAAUUCAAAUAUCAUCCCUUUUCUACUAAUAUAAAUAUUUUAUUUCUAACUCCCAACCACUACCCAUUCAUCUCUCCGCUACUAAAAACCCCAUCAAUUCAAAUUGAAGCAUAGAAAAAUGAAGCAUCUUUCCAAAUUGUUACGUGAAAGUAAAAGCACUUCCAUUUUGAAUUUCAGCUCAGCCAUAACAUCUUCAUAGAAGACGUACAAAACUCAUUGAUACAUUAAUUUACAAAUCAUUCUAAAGAAUAAAGAUCAUCGAGUAAAAGCAUACAAAACGAUACAGACAUAAAUCAAGAGAGCAAGAGGGACAAAAAUCACAAGUGGCACAACCGCAGCGAAGCUAUACCCACUUCCACAAGCCAAAGUCCCGAGCUUGAACUGAACCACAUUAAUCAAUGCCAGCAUUAAGAACACGCAUCCGAUAACCGAACCGACACCCGAAGCCAGCAUCCCGACCCGCAAUGAGUUCUUGUUCACUCGCACGAAGAACUCGGGUAAGUGAUGGGAAUGAGAGUGAAAAUCGGUGGUUUUGGAGAUCCGAAGAGCUUGCUUGAGUGCAAGAGCGAUCAAGCUGGAGAAGAGGAAGGAACUGAAGGAGAAGACAUGAUAGGAGACAAUGUUCUCGACGAUGGUGGAGCCGGCGGCGCAAGGUGAGGUGGGAUCGGUGAUAAGGGAGCUGUUGGGGUCGGUUGGGUUCCAGGCGAGGCCGACGAAGACGGCGAGAGUGAAGAGGGAGUUCACAUUGACGAUACCGUCAAGGGCGGUGAUGUGGAUGCUGGUGGUCAUGGUGAUUGAAAAUGAUCUGAGCUGAUUGGUGAAUCUGAAAUUUGAACGGACGGUUGAGUAAAGGGUUUGUUCUGUCACUGUCCUGCGAAGCAGGAAAUAAGUGAAGGAAGUGGCUUACCAGAGAGAAUAAUUGGGUCAGGACUCAGGCGCAAGGAAAAAUGGCGGAGUGUAUAAUACGCUAUCGUUUGGUGCUUUGUCCAAAAGAGAAAGGAAAUGCUCCAUUGAGAUGCUCAAUUUAUUAGUUGAUCAACUUUGAUAAAUGUUUUAAAAAUUUAUUAAUCAUUCCCUAUAUUACUAUAAUAAAGUAUUAGAAAUAAAUCUAAUGCUAUCUUGAUAUAGUUUCAGGCUUCCAAGUUGAACAGCAGCGGGCAUUUGGUCUAGUGGUAUGAUUCUCGCUUAGGGUGCGAGAGGUCCCGAGUUCAAUUCUCGGAAUGCCCCGUUUUUCUAACUUUUUGGUCCCUUCUUUCACUUGACUUCCAUGUCUGAACAAGAACAAUCAAAACUCAAUUUCUGUCUGCUCUCAGUUACAACCACAUACAUUCAUAUACACAAAAUUUUUUGAAAAAAAUUAAAUAAAUACUGAUUUAAUGUAACAUAUAAGAAUCAAUAAUCCAAACAAACAAAUGAUUUGUUACAGUAGGAGCCCAUCUACCAUCAACAGUUCCUAAUUCUCAAUCUAAUAUUUCAUUCUUUUCUAUCCACCAAACUCUUAGCUGAGUUGCUUUGAGUGAUUAAGACAUGCCGUUGUUAUCCCACUUUCAUGUCCUCCACCUUCUGUGCCAUUUGGAUUAGGACAUGUUGUUUCAGUUGAACUACCACAGAUCUUCGGUUUUGUAUCAACACCAAGAUAAUUCGUCAACACUUUUUUCACUCCAAAGCCUCGACGAUUAGGCUUGUGGCUGUUGUUGGAGGUGGUGAUGCUGUGGAGAAAUGGAGUUCGCUCUCCCCUUGCAGGACUAAUACGCGGCGCUGGAGAAAAGUAUGUUUUGUAUGGAGUGCCUGAGACAGGCACCGAGUAAGGGAUCGAAACAUUCUUGUGAGCAAUGACACUGACUGUUGGAACUGAUAUUUUAUCUGAAUGUUUAAUCAAGUCAUCCACGUACAAUAAAUCAUCAAUACGAGCUAUGACGUUGAAUGAUAAGCUCUCCAGAACUCUUGAAUAGCUUUCAAGGAUGGACUUUCCAACAUCCUGAAAUUUUUUUGAUGAACAAGUCCUGUUAAGAUAAUGCACUUAGGUGGAACUAGAAGCGAGUUGAAAGAGAGAAGCCAACCUUGUUGAAUUGGAUUUUGCUAGUGUCCAAGGUGGUCUGGCUUAGACUAGGAAACCGCUGCUUCAAGGAAAGCAGAAGGCUUUCUGCUCUCUCUGCAAGCAGGUCCCUCUUGUCUACGUCGAUCAUCAAGUCCUUGACCAUCUCCCAUGAUGACUUCGCAGUGGCCUUCGGAUUAGAAGUUCUCCUACGCAUUGCAUAUACUGCAGAUUCCACACGGUUUGCAAUUUCUAGAGCGGCAUGCUCAGUUUUCAAUUCCAGGCAAUCAAGCAGGGAUUCUGCAGAGAACUGCUCCGAAGCAAUAUACCGGUAUAUGUGGUCUCCUAAACAAGCUCUCCCAUUCUGAAAAACAAAUCAAAAGAACUAAAUGUUGUAACGCGCUUUACAGUGAUGAAGAAGCAUAGUAAAUUUAGUACAAUCUAGUGGAGAAAACAAGUUUAAAAGCCAUACCUUUGGAAGUGACUCCAAGUAUGAAUCAGGGACAUCCAUUUCGGCUAAAGCAAUGUUGUUGAUCGCCAUUGCAGCUUUUAGUAUUUGGUUUGUGCAUUCGCGUUUGUAGUUCAACUGCUUUCUUGAAUCUUCACUAAGACCACCUGCCGGAACACGGGGUAGAGGCAGCCACCACUUCUCUUCUUGCCUCUGAAUUGCUUUGCAGAAAGAGUUUGACCCAUCUGCACCUGAUGCUACAAUACCUUGAUCAACAUACCAAAACUCUGCAUUGGCAAAACUAUCUAGUAUUUCCUGCCAUUGAAGGUUCAAAAGGUUAAUGAUUCAGGCUACCACAAGUUCACAAAUGCCCCCCAAAACAACUAAUGCCUAAAUCUUACAAGAAGCAUAUUGUCCAGUUUAUGCAGAGCUGGGAGAUUGAUGGAAAGAUCUGAUCUCAGCUGGCAAUUCAUGACCUACAAAGGCAGAAAAUUAUUUAACUUUGGAAAAGGAAGAACAGGAAAAUUAAGAAUGAUUCAUGGUAACUAAAUUCCUUAGAUUUUGAUUGCAUUUUUAAUGUCUCGUAAGUUUUUUUUUUCUGACACAAAUUGCCUGCAUGCUAAUAAAGAAAGAAAUUUAUCUAAUAUGAACAACAUUUGUUUAACAUCCUAUGCUUUUUCACUUGAUAAUAGAUUAUAAUGAUGUAGAAUGGAUCCUUGACAGAUUAAGCAAAUUAUAUUUGUAAUUCUGAAUCAAAAUGGCACUAGAAUUAGACUUACUUCAAGCUUACUGCCAUCAGGAAAUGUUUGCCAAGAUGGUAUUAACUCCACAAUGUGAUCACCAACACAAAGAAGCCACUCCAUCUCUCUUCUCCACAUUGAUUUCUUCUCUGAAGGCAGUGGCUCCAGUCUCCAUAAUUGUCCAAAAACAGUAACUGCUUGUUGCAAAACCAAGAUUAAAUUACAAUAAAAUUUAGAAUUUUUAGAAUGGUUUACACAUAAACUUAGACAAGAAAGCUUACCACAGAGGUUAGUAAUGGCAUUUGAGAGAGCCAAAGCUGUGCAAACACCUUUCCCAGACCCUGACAUGUCUUCACCAAGCAGCAAUUUUGCGAACCUCUCCUUCAUCAUAUCAAUCUCUGCACCAAAUUUACCCAACAAAAUUACUAAAAAUAAAUUUAACCCAAUGAUUAUUUUAUAAAAGAAAUUUGUUUUUUUAUAAAAAAAAAAAAAGAAAAAAAAAGAAAAAAAAGAAGAAGAUGUGUACCAUGAUUAAUAAAGAAAUGUCAAUUUGAAAAUUUUGCUUUUGAAGUUUGAGUUUCAUAUAGUCGAAUAGACUUGGAAUUGAAGUUCUUUCAAAAUCUCACUCUUAUUUAAUAUUCAAGAACAGAUGCAUUUAAAAUUUGAAAAAAGAAAAUAACGAAAAGGGAAACACAAAUACCAACCUGAAAUCUUUGAGCUCAGCUUUUUAAACUUGGAACCCUGAAAAUUGGUUUUCUCUUGAUCAUCAUUUCCACCAGUGGCUGAUGAGUCCUUGCAAUCUCCAGCUUUCAUUAUCGGCCAUCCUAAAGGAGAAGGAGAAUCACACCCAACAGUCUUCACUCCUUCAGUAGAACUAGACUCAGGACUCGAGCUGCUGCUAUCUCUUGACUCGGUCACUGACUCAGACCCAUUUUUCCUCAUCUCAUAUCCUCCUGCUGCACCAUUCCUGUUCACCAUACUUUCCAUUGUUGAUGAAAAAGCAGAAAUUUUUUCGAAACCCAAAAGCUCAGAUUCAUGUAAGAUUCACCAAAAACAACUUCUUUCACUCAUAUAAAUUAAACCCCAUAAAAAGAUAAAUCCAAAAGCUCAAACAGUGUGGGUCAUGGUAGAUUCAGGUUGCUGUUAACACACAUUCUCUUUGUCCAUCUUUCUCUUUUCUCUCUCACCCACCAGUUGAAAUUUAAUUUUGAAGCUGAAAACGGUAACUAGUAAUGGAACAGGCCAUGGAUAACGUCUCUCUUUGAUUUUGAUUUCCUGUCUCUCUCUCUCUCGCUAUCAAUCUCUGAGUAGAGAAUACGUACAAAAUAUUUGUAAAAUACAAAGGCCCAUUGCCUUUGGGAGGACGGAUACGUCGAUGGACUGAAGUUACACUUUUGCCCUCUUAUUUUUCUUUAUUUAUCUACACUGCCCCUCGUAAGAAUUUAUUCGGUCUUCUUUUAAUUCACAAGUUUUUUUAGUUUAAUCAUACAAAAUAAUAAAUUCAAAAAAAAAUUAAAUUAAAAAGAACGAUAAAUAUAUUAAAUUUUAAUAAAAAUAAAAAUAAAAAAUAAUAUUUUUUUAUUUAAAAUGUAUAUAUAAAUAUAAUUUAAUUAAUAUUUUACAAACGCUCCAUUUAUUAAAGGGUAAAUCAGAAAAAUAAUAUUUAAAUCUGUUUAUUUGUCAGUAAUUUAUUUAAGAUAAUUUCAUUAAUCCUUUCUAUUCAAAACUCUAUAUUACUACGACUAAAAUAUAUUAAAUAUACUUCUUUACUUAAUUUUCAAUUAAUAUAUUUUUAAAAAAAUAUUAUUUUCAAAAUACCAACUAAAUUCUAAAUAAAUUUAAAAAAAAAUACUUAAACAUCAAAAAUCUUAAUAAUUCUUUAUUUAAAAAAUAAAAUAAUUUUUUAUUUAAAAAAUAAAAUAAAAAAACCUAGACCUUCUGUGGUCCUUCGGUGUUUAGCUUUUCCGACAUCUCCCACUGCCAAAAAAAAAAGCUAAAGGCUAAAAAAACCCACCAACGAGUGCCCAAAAAGCUAUAAUGUAGCAGUUUUGGUGAUGGGUAAAGCAAUGACUUUAGAUUCGUGCAAUGGUUUUGCCAACUUUUCCCUUUUUUUUUUUAUUUUCUUAAUAUUUAUUAAUAUUAUUGAUGACCGCUGGAUUUUUUCAUCCUGAUUUAAGGCCAGACCCAUAAAAACAGCCCAUAAUCUGAAAACUUUUAAGUAUCCUGCAAGAUCCAAGUCCAGCCCGCUCAGUUGUAGGACCGGGCUCUACCUAGAUUCUUCAAUCCAGUCGGUCCAGCCUUUUCGGCCCAAUGAUCAGACCUCCUCUAAGCUCAACCUUAACCCAUCUUCCAGCCCAGCCCGGAAGAAGGAAAGUGGCCAGCCCAUCCGACUGGUAAAUCCACCCACAUGCGUACCAGGAAAAAAUUAAGUGACCGUUACGCAUGUAGCAGGAAUCUGAUAUUCUCAUACAUUCAGAUCCGUAUGGCAGAGACACGUGGUCCAAUGACGGAAACUUCGUUACACGUCGCUAACAAACAAAAGGAAAUGAAUAAAAGGAGAAACACUUUCCUCACGGACUAACCUUUUUCUAAGUUCGUAGAAAUCUUAUAAAAUCCUAUUUUUUAGAUUUUAAAUCAUCAAUUAUAAUGUUAUUUUUUUAUUUUUUAAUGUAUAUACACUAAAUUAAAUUUCAAGGAUUCAUAAUUUUUACUAAUAUUUCCAUUUUGAAAAAUGAUUCAAAUGAAUGUGAAAUGGAAAAACAAGAGAAAGAAUUCCAUUUUAACUAAACAUAUGGGAAACAAGAAGGUAACAUGCUUUUGCUCUCGCUUUUCAAAAAGACUGACCUCCAUAUUUUACCCAAUUUCUCUAUUUUAUUCUUUUAUUUCAUGCAUUUUUGCAUCGUCAAAACCUACAAAGGUUAAGUAAAUUAUCCAUAAAUUUUAAUUUUAAUUCAGGGACUACUCAUAUUUAAAACCUUUUUUUCGAUUUAUGUUUGGCCCGACCCGAUUGAAAUUCAAAAAGGUCAUAUGCUAUGCUUUGGAAUAAUAAAUCUUCAAGUUUCAAUUUGAUGAAAUGAACACUAACCGUCAUUUUUCAUCAUACCCAAUUUGAAUUUUGGAAACCUUGACAUUAUUUAACUUUAUAUAAUGUCAAAGUUUGGCAGUGGUUCCAAUUGGGUGUCACGGGCUUGACCAGCCUCCCAUACUGGACGUCACCAUAAGCUUAGCUGGCUUCUAAAAUGCUCGCCGUGGACCACCGUCAUGGGCCGGUCUUUGUAUUUGGUAAUGGCCAUCAUUUAGUCCAUUCAAAAUUAAAUUAAUUAAAAUUGGGAGAUAAUCAAAUUUAAUAAAUAUAUUACUUUUAAAAUUUUUUAUAAUUAAAAAAUAUUAAAUUCAAAUUUAAAUUAAUUUUAGAUAUAUUUUAAUUGUUGUAUUUAAAUAAUUAAUUUUCUUACUAAAUAGAGUUGUUUUUCAUGGCCUUGUCUUGGUGAUCCAGAAGGGCUACGAAUUUUCAAGCCCAAAUCAUUUCAUUCGCUCACCACCGCGAACGAGCCAUUCGACAGCUAAAGAGUUGCAACCUCAGUAGCUAAACAGGACCCAAUACUCUCUUUACACGAUCCAAAAUUCCCAUCUCCUUGAUUUUCUGUUUCUCUUUUCUUUCAUGUCUUUCUUCAUAUAAUAUUCUUUUUUAAUUUAAAAGAAGAACUAUAAACAGCUGCUGAUUCCGCCUUUCGUUGAUCAGACAUAGCUUUAUCAUCUGUGAUCCUUUUCCUCCAAAGGUGUUCUUUUCUCUGCGCUUCUUUCUUUAUCUGUUUGUACAUAUGUGCCUUUCUAUUUUUCGGUUGUAUAUAUUUUCAAAGAACUGCUCUUUGCUCUGUUUUUCCUUUUGCGUUAAUUUGUUUACAUAUUUGUCAUUGUGGGUACUAUUUGUUUGAUAAUAGAAUGGAUUCUGAGUUUGGUUUCUCUUAAAUCUUCGUUAGAUUGGUUGAAUUGGGAUUGAUCAAUUUUGGAAGUUCAUGUCAGAUCACUAUUUGAGCUGAUAUGUAUAGCUUAAUUAGGAGGUGUUAAUGCGUUUGAAUCAUCGUGUUCUUGAAAUUUUUCGAUGAUCUAGUCGUUUGAACGUGGAGCUGCAGCUCCAUCUAUCCGUUGACUUUUUCUUUUUAACGUAGAUAUCAAUUUGAUUAGCUCUAUUUCAAUGCAAAAAAAACAUGGCGUUAAUUUUUCUAUAGAACUGUGUAAUCAUGAAAAUUUUGGAUUUUCACUUGAACACAUUCCUAGAUGUUCUAAUAUCAGUUCAAAGAAGUUUUGAAUGGGACAAUUUGAUGCAACCAUAAAAGUGGCUAAAUUUAUUUUAUGUAAAGCCAUGGUUAGAAGGUAAUCUAGCAGUUGCAGUUAUUAAACCUUCAAAUAUUCUCUUUAUUGAACCUGGAAAAAUUGGAAUCUUAACUAAUUUUUGUUUAAAUGGUCAGUGCUGGAAAUUUGAUCUUUUGUGCCUUGAAUCUGCAACAGGUGAAAUCUUUAAAACGUUUUUGGAGGACUAAAAGAGAAAGCAGAUGAAGCAUAUUUAUUGAGCAGACAGUGGUUAUGCUUGAAUAUUAACACGGUUCUGGAAUUCUAUUUUUAAUUUGGUCGCUGAUGUGGCCACUGUAUUUUCUGUUAAGCAAGAUUUUUAAUGUGGAAGAAGCAGAAGCAAAACUAAAUGGUUCAGUUGCAGAUAAUGUGAAUGCUAGAGAAUGUCACCUUAUCGGGCCAUCAUCAAGUGGUAGAAAAUGCCAAGAUGAUGUCUUGUGUUGUUCGCUCUUUAUUGAAGUAAGAGAACUGUGGCUUUGUCUCUCUUUUUUUAAGGGUUAAUAAUUUGAUGUAGAAUGUUAAUGUUUGCUAAUCAGAAAUUCAAUUCUGAUGGACAAUCCUUAUUUUCAGUAAAGUGUUCCUUGACUUGUUUUUUUGUUUUGAGUCCGUAAGUUGUCUUGGUGCACAUAGGUUCCACACAUAAGCCAGCUGCAUUCCUGGGACUGUGGCCUUGCUUGUGUUCUCAUGGCUUUGAAUACUAUUGGCAUCAACAAUUGUAGCAUCCAAGCCUUGGCAGAAUUGUGCUGCACGACUAGGUCUGUCAUUUUUCCAAAAUUGCAACUUCUGUUUCUUGUUUUUGUGGAAGUAAAAUUAAGGGUUUGAUGUAGUUCACCUAUGUAGAAUAUAAAGGGUUUUUCUUUACUCCAAUUGUUUGUCACUAGACCAACUGUCAUCUAUUUUGCAUCUGGUACUCAGUCUACGUUUGUGGUUUGGCAGUGGGAUGCUUUUCUGCUCAAAUUAAGAGAAUAUUUUGACUUGAACCAGAUCUAGUUUUAUGUAUAUCUGUGGAUGCUACAUAACUUAAUUUGAGGAGUGAGGUCCUAGUAAGGUCAAGAUAUUGAAUAAACACACUUUUGAAUAAAAUUUUAAGCUAUUAGUUUUUGGGUCGCUUUCAUGUCUCUGAAAUUCACCAACAUCUAAAGGAAUGAGUUGGUUAAUGAAGAUUAUUUUAAAGUUUACCACCUCUACAAAGCAUUCAAAUACAUGGGGCAUCUUUCCUAAAUCUGCCUUCAUAUAGAUGCGUCCUAUGCUAUGAGCUAAAGAGAGGGGUUUGAUGUGAAAAAGUUAAAGCCCUUGAGUGCUUGCCCAGUUUAUUGGCUCACUAGAAGGGUGGCUCAUGGAGGAUGUGUGUGGGCAGCCAUGCUAUAAACAAAAUUAUAGUCUUCAAUUUUCCUAUUCCUUGAUGGGAAGAGAUGCUUGAUUAAUUAGAAACUUCUGAAUUGUUUUCUAAGAUGGUUUUAAAGAGAAGAGAAUAUCAAAUUAGAAUAAGGAGCAAAGAUGUGCGGAAAACUUCUUUUAAAACACCAGAUGAUCAAUUCAAAUGGUUGGUUAUUUCAUCUGGCCUUUCUAAUGUGCCAAGAACAGUCAUUAGAGUUAUGAUGGAAGUACCCAAGGCUCACUUGAAUUCUUUUAUUGUGGUUUAUUUUAAUGAAAUUUGGAUCUAUAGCCACAAUAAUGAAGAGCACAUAAAACAUUUGCAACAAUUUUUGAGGUAUUUUGAAGGGAGCAUCACUAUACAAACACGAAAGCUUCUUGGUGAAGUGACUUAGUAGACCAGCAACCAAAAGCACUUGAAUUACUGGGGAGGAGCUAAAAGGCAGCUGUCUGACUUUUUGUGGGACCGAGGUUUUCUCUAAUCCUAGGAGAUUGAUGGCCUGGCAUCUGUAGUACUAUUUCAGUUUUGGAUUUUACUUUGUUUUUUAUUUGUUUAUAGAUUUUUUUUUUCCAUCUCUAUUUAGGAUUCUUGUCCAUUAAAUCUUUAUUAAUUAGGAUUAGUUUUCAGUCUAUGAAUAGGUGUUACCCUACUUAGUAAUUGGUAUAAGUAAGGUUGCUGGUAGAAAUAUCAGUAGUAUUUUUUCUUUUUCAUAUUCAAAAUUUUAUCAAGAGGUUUUCUGUAAAUCCUAGUUUUCUUUUUUUUCCCCAUUCCAACCACAAUCAAAUUUAUUUUAGCUCUAGAAGUUGAUAUCUAAUUGUCUUAAACUCUUUCACUGCUUCAGUUAUUUACCUUGAUAUAAGAAUUUGUUUGUUGUUCAGGUGGAACAUUUAUGCUGCAAGAUGCAGCUGUUCCCAUUUUAUGUGUUUUAUUUUAUUUUAUUUAUUGUGUUCUUCUUAUCAUUUGGCUGGUUGACUCUUACAUUCAAGUGUAAACAAAAUAAAUCAAUUAUACUGUCCUGUGAAUUUGAUCUGAACCUUUUUUCCAUGAACCUUUCUGUUGACGUCCUUUUGCAGCAUUUGGACUGUUGAUCUGGCAUAUUUACUGCAGAAGUUUUCUGUUCAAUUUUCCUACUUCACAGUAACUAUUGGUGCAAAUCCAAAUUACUCUGCUGAGACAUUUUACAAGGUGACAUUCUGUCAUAUUUAUGUACCUUUCUUUUCCUUUUCGCCAUAAUUGUUCUGAAGAAUGUUUGGAUGCAAGUUCAUUAGACGUUAUCUUGUUGAAAGAUAUUCAUUUCUAUAAUGGUAUGGGAUGUAUGAUUAUGUUCAAUAAUCACUGUUUUCUAUAUUAGUAUGAUAGUUAUAGUACCUCGCAACGCGAUUUGGAUUCAGCCUUUUUUUCCCUGGCCUGUCAAUAUGCUAUUAUGAAAACAUAUUUGUUAUACUUCCUAAUGCUUUUUUUAGACUGAUGAUAAUCUGUAAGCCCUUAUGUUAUCACUGUAAUACCAAUAAAAAUCUAGUUUUGUGCAGGAGCAACUGCCUACUGAUCUGGUGCGUGUGGACAUGCUCUUUCAAAAAGCACGGGAGGAAGGGAUUAAUAUACAGGUAUAUGACUUGCAUCUGGGGCACAUAUCAAAUUGGCAUAUAUAGAUUUUAUUGCAAACAUGGUUGUGUUUUCCGAAUAUUCUCAAGUUCAUAUUCACAGCUAAUAAUGAGAAUUGACACAACAGCACCAAUGCAAUUAACUAUAAUGCCUUUUUUUUUUGUUACAGUAUAUUUUUGUUCUUUGACAUCAAUUAAAUUCCUAAUAUUUAAGUAUCAACCGAAGUCUUAAUAUUGAUACAUAUCUUAUAGCCAUUUUUAUCACUGAAAAUUUAGGCCAGUGUUAGAUCAAUCAGAAAAGUAAAUAUCAACAAAUAAACCUUGAUUUGUUAUUUCGAUUUGCUUAUGUAGGUUAAGCUUGUGAACCUUUUCCUUUUACAGUGCAGGUCAAUCAAUGAAAAAGAAAUUUCUCUCUUGAUUUUGUCUGGGAAAUAUAUUGCAAUUGCUUUGGUUGACCAGUACAAAUUAAGGUAUAAUCUUCUAUGAUUUAUUGCUUCUUAUUUUCUAUCCAGAUUUACUUUGUCCUUUAACAUACUGCAAUGCCAUGACAUUCUCUUUUUCUCACCAUCUUAAUAAGAACCUAUAUUGCUACCUUGAUUUGCCAAUUUCUCCUUUUCUCCUAAUUCAUUUGUGUGAUUUAAACUAAAAGCCUAACUUAUUGUGUAAUGAAUGACUUGUUUUAUUGUAACAAUAGCAUAAUAUUAUCUGUUUCUCGUAAAAUUUCAUGCUAGCCGGUCUUGGAUGGAGGAUAUUAUCUUAUCAGGCUUGAAUGGGAGCAACUCAAACUAUACGGGUGAGCAGUAGCAUUUUUUGUUCCCCUCUGUGAUAAAAUAUGAUAUAGACUUACAAUUAUGUUUGUGUUUUAUAAUAGAAAAUAGUUUCUGCUCAUCUCUGUGGAUUAACCUAUCUUGAUAAUAAGAGAUUCACAAGGCACACUAUAGGCAUGGCAAGGUGGUGGUGGUUAUGCAAUUCUAUGAUUAUGAUUGACUUUGUAACAAUGAAUCAUUAUGAAUGCGAACUGCGAUGAGAUUCUGUACAUUCCAAAUGUUCAUUAAUGUAUCCUGAUCAAUCACUUGUCACAACUUUUUCAAAAAAUAAAUAUUGGCAGGCUUGCUCUUUGCAAUAUAAUUAUGCGGGGGGAUAAGUUGGUGACACUAGCUCUUUUUUUUAUUAGGUCACUAUGUUGUGAUAUGUGGUUAUGAUGCUGGAACAGAUGAGUUUGAGAUUCGAGAUCCUGCCAGUUCUAGGUAUCAUCUUUGCUUCCCUUCUUAUUGUUAUUGAAGUCUCUAUCCAACACUGGUGCUCAAGGAUAAGAUGAAGGGUCCAAUAACUAUGCAAUGAAAUGUUUUUUGCCCUAUUGAAUAAUUAAAAUGUGUAAAUUCGUGCUGGAGUAAUAAAUAAUUACUCAAAUAUGCAUCAUAUCAGGUGACACAAUUCGUAAAGGAUCUUCAGACCACACUUCAAAAGUUUUAGGUUCAUCUAACUGUGAGUCGGAUACAUCCAUUUGAAAUCUCCUCUCUUGUGCAUACCUAGUGCACUUGUCCAGAGAAGAAGGGACUAUCAAAAACUUGCUGGCAAAUACGUCCUUUUAGCAGUUAAAAAUUUUUAUCCAUUUUUCAUGAUAUCAUGCACGGAUCAGAUAUUUGGCGAAUUCUUCAGAAAAAUUGUGUCUUCCACAAACUUCCUUUGACUUGUAUUGUAGGCAUGUCAAUUGUGAUUUGCAAAUUGAGUUUUACAUUGUGGAAGAUUGAAUUUUGGGGAAAAUGCAGGAAAAGUCAGAGGAUCUCAUCAAAAUGCUUAGAAGAAGCACGCAAAUCCUUUGGUACUGAUGAAGAUCUUCUCCUGGUAAACUAAUAUUUUUUUCCCUGCAAGUAUGAUUGCAUAAAAAAUCACCAACGUUUUUCUUUUGAGAGCAUCUGUUUAAGAUAUGAUUCAAUCAUAGCCUUAAGUGUUCCUGCUUGAAGUAGUGAUAUCAUAUGCACGAGCCAAUCCUCGGUUGCAGGCUCAAAAAAAGAAAAGAAAAAUAGUCUAACUCUGUAAUAUGAUAGCUCCUCCAUCUUAAAAACUCAAGUUUAUCCAGGGUGUGAAAUAAGCCUCUCAAACUUCGU
rnacentral:lncRNA from 1 species